CCGUGAGCUGUUUGUCUCAGUAGGUGGUUCUGGCCUUUAAACCUUUCCAUACCACGGGGAGAUGGGGGGCGGGGUGGAGGGGGAGAGGAAGAUCUGCAGUGACUCCCAACCCAGAUCUGAGUCUGGUGGAUUUCUGAACAUUUGCAGUGGGGUAUGUAGAAAUGGAAAGUGGUGAAGGCAAGUAGAACUCUGGGCCUUUCCCUUUAGUGGCCCUGACCUUGUAAGACUUAAUCUGUGGCCGGGACGGAGACGAGACCCUCUAGCUGUGGAGUUAAUCGUUCUUAGCAGAUUCUUAUUGAACCAGACAGUCUGCCCAACCUGUCAGACAUGAACAACACCCUGUGCAGCACAAGCUGACUUCCGUGCUUACCAAGGAACAACCCCAGCACCCCCUGAAGAGUUGGGAACGAAGGCUAAGAACUCCAGUAUAAUGAUUUUUGUCCUACGCUCUGGUUGUUGAAGAAAAGUAAGGGGCAAUAAAAAUGUACCAUUCCCAAAUCAUUUUCUAAGGGUAAUUGAUUGGCUUCACAUACUACUGAAUUCCACUUCAGUGUGGAACAAAGGCGUGUCUAGUUCAUGGACCCAGGGGCCCAGGUCCCCUGUGUAUAAAAUACAGGGCCUAGGGUGUGGGACUGCUGCCUGGAAAGGACAUUACCUAGCUUUGCUUUUCUGUGGUCAGAGCUUCCUCACUUGUUCGACUGUUUUCCCUUCUGUGUGUAUGUUUUUAUUUCUACUGGUUUUCAGGAGGCUCAAAGAAAAAGAAAAAAUAGUGAACAUCCCCAACGAGAGUAUAAGCAAGUCAACCCCCUGUGCCAAAAUUCAUACCCAAAAGAAUGGAGGGUAACGAUUAAGUAGAGCGAGGAUUAAUUAAGUUUUCUCUCCUUGGCUGAAAUGAAAGAUAACUGUGAAAGGUAAAGUCACUGUGACGGAGCUUCUCUAUGUUUUGAACUUUGUUUUAAGUGGAUUCGCCCUCACUUCAUCCUAUGUCUAGGUUGUGUUGUCCCUUGUGCCAGGCUGCUACAGCCGAGCAAGAGUGGAGGGAGACUUAGAAGCUUUGGUGCUUUGAGACCCUCUGUAAGCCAGUACUUGCCAUGGAACAGUUGUAGUUUGUGGUUGUGUAAUUUGCUGGUGUCUGGCCUCUUUUGGUCAGAAUCCAUAAACUGCUCAAGUUCCUCCAAGUUCUUCAGUUGAGUUGGAUCAUUUAAUGUUUGGUUGUCUUGUCACCUGGUCAAGAGUACACUUACGUUAGAUGGAAUAUUUAAAAUGCUGACCCUUGCCGACUUGUAGGCUAGGCUUUUGGGUGUGUCUCCUCUUAAUAGAGUUCACUGAGAGGUUGAGAAUAUGGAGGUUGUGUCACAGAAAUAGAAACUUAAGGACUCUGCGAAAGGAAAGGGGCAACUGUUUCGGUUGUGGAUUCCUCCUUACUGCAAACUGCUCGUAGUAUUUGCCAGCAAAGAGAGCUCAUUAUGCAAGUGCUAGUUAGGAGGUGGCUUUGUGACAUGUAUGGCAAGGUAAAAGUAUGCUUAAAAUCGUCAGCUAAGUCAUAUCCAGGUGAUUAAGUUGUGUAAGAAAACAUUCAGUUCAAUUAAACAUUUUUGGGAAAGGCAAAAUGCACCCCACCCCCAAUGAAGGGGACUUAAUUCAGGUCUUUGCAUAUGCUAGCUACACAGACAGGUCUUGGUUUUUGGAAACAGGGUCUUUAAGUGAAGAAGGUUGGGGUGGCCUUGAACUGCUGAUCUUUCUGCCUUCACAUCCCAAGUGAUGGCUUACAAGCAUGCUGGAAGAGCAAAGGUUCUGUAAGGUAAAGUAGUGGGUUUUCUGUUGAGACUAUGAGUAGAAAGAGUUAGCUCUGAGGCUCAAAUCUUUGCACACGGGUUGCAGGUCUGAAAGCUCUUCUAGGAUAGGGUACUCUUUGAUAUUUGUAGUGAUUUCUUUUUUAUUUCAGGGUCAGUGUAGCUCAGUAUAAGAUGGGGAGGUAUUAAAAGCAGCACAACUAACCCUUGCCUCAUUGCUUUUCUUUAAGCUGCACAGGUUCUAAACACUUGAGUAGCUAGAGGCAGAGAUGGAAUGUUUCCUACGAAUUUUACCUUGGUAAUGUUUGUCCUCCACCCUCUGCUCCUUCACACUGUGACAGCUCAGUGACUUUGUUUUCAGGGUAGGUAGGGUGGGUGAAAAAACCCAGGUGUACUCCUCCUGAGUGAAGGAAAGGAGAGAUGAUCACACUGGGAUUGGAUUUAAAGACCUGGACCGCAGCCAUGACUUUCCCAUUUUGAGAUCUGGCACAAACCAUUUCAACCAUGAAAUGUUAUUCACAAAUUAAGAAAAAAAAAUCUGUGAGAGAGAAAUGUUAAACUGUCCCAAUUUAGUAAACACAGAUAACUUUAUGGUAAUGUACAAUAAUAGAUUUGUACAAUAUUAAAUUGUUGGUGGGCUGGGCAUUGUAGCUCAGUAGUAAAAUGUUUAUCUGUACAAGGCCCCUAUAUUCCAUCUACAAUAUUGGAAUGUUUAAAAUUGCCUUAUUAAUGGUAGCAAUUAUAUUCACUUCAUAGGGUAGUUGUGAGGCUCAAGAGAAUUAAUGGAAAUGCCAAAAAAAAGUGCAUUAUGGCAGUAUAUCUUUUGGUUACUGAUACAUCUAUCUGCUGAUGAAUGUAUAAUUUCAGUAAGGUUCAGAAAGGAAAUACGUAAAUAGAAGUGGUUGGAAGCACGCCUUUUCCUCGUUACCUUGCAUGAAAAGGUCGCUCAUCUGGGCACAGUUCAGCAAUGAGAUUUGUAUUCAUGCUCAUGGACCCAUCUUAGGAUCUGGAACCUGGCAAUAAAAGGCAGGACAAUGAUUGACAAUUAAUUUGGGUAUCACAUCACAUGGCUAGCGUUCCUGCCAAAGCUGAGACAUGGCACACUGAGCUGCAAAACUCAGCUAUAAUUUUCCUUGAAGUUGUAACCCCAGGUGAAACUCGAUGUUAAUACUUUAUCCUACUGUGGUUUUGCACAGAGCUCUGGAUAAGGCUUAAAGCAAUAAACAUGUGUGUCUGUUAGUGCAUUCAAUAUGGUCCUGUUUGAACACCGUGCCUUUUUUUUUUUUUUUUUUUUGUGAACCGGACACAGCAAGAAUUGUGUAGGAAGAGGGAAAACCAAUUGAGGGAUUGCCUCCCGAAGAUUGUCCGUAGGCAGGUUUGUGGCAAUAUUUUCUUGAUUGAUAUAUAGGAGGCCCCAGCCUAAGUGACACUUCUGGGCAGUUGGUACCGGUGGAGGAAAAUAAAAGCAGCCUUCCUUAUCCUUUGCUUCAGUUCCUGCCUCCAGGCUUCUGUCUGGAGUUCCUACCCUCAGUGGUGGAUUGUGCCUGGGAAUUGUAAGCAGAAAUAGUCUUUCUUCCUCAAGUUGUUCUGGUUAGCAUCAGAAAGCAAACCUAAAACAAAUAAUUAGGUUCGUUUAAGUCAGUACUCACAGGUAAGUGAUGUUCCAAAGAGAGCCAACCAUUCUCUUUUGAUGAGUGCUUGAUCCCCCCCAAAGUGAUGUAUUUAUAAUUUUUGAGCAUAUGACAGUGAUAAGCUAAUAGAAAGUAAAGCACCAUACUGUGACAGAUUACAACAGUACUGCUUGCUUUUCUAUGGGCCUUGACUGGCAUGCUCUCUUUCUGUCUGUAUCUCUCUCUCUCUCUUUCUCUCUCUCUCUCUCUCUCUCUCUCUCUCUCUCUCUCUCUCUCUGUGUGUGUGUGUGUGUGUGUGUGUGUGUGUGUGCGUGCGUGUGUGUGUUGGAAUGUGUGCAUGCACAUGUGCUGAGUGGAGAAUACAGGUUUCUUGUGCAUGCUGAGCAAGCCUUCCUAUUACUAAUCUAUAUCCUCAUGUCUCUUCCUUUUUUAUUUUUAUUUUUUUCAUGUUGGCAGUUUUAGUCUUUUUGAUGUUACUGCAUAUUUGCUCUAGGCAUUGUUCAGUGAAAAUGAUAUGGCUCAUUGCUUAUAGCCCCCAGAAACCUGAGACACUUAAUGUAGACUAUAUAUAGCUCAUGAACCACAUGCUGUUCAGUCAGUGAAUACCUGUGCAUAUAUUAUGUUCUGAUCUUUCUUCACAUGGCUGUUGUGUACACAGAGUGAGUCACAGAUGGAUAUUGACCUUAAGAAGUUCCAAGACUAGUAGGGGAGAGGUGGAGAGGAGAAAUUACUGCUUCAUAAGGUAGUAAAGUUCACAGCUUUAGAGGUGGGUGGUGGUCAUGACUGGAUGUGACUUUAGAGAGAGAGCUCAUUUCUUGGUGGAGGACAGAGGAAUCAAAGGAGGAAAUAGUGUCGGAGCUUGCCAGAAUUAACAGCGAUUUGACUUACUAAGCUCUUCUUGUAUACUGGUGAUUCCGUAAUUAAAAAUUCUUUUUAGAUGUUAUACUUGAUGAACAGUCUAUGCCAAAAGAAAGCUUUUGCUAGGUGAGAUGUAGUUUUAGCUGUCUUUUUCGAAGAUUCACUGAGACAUUAUCAAGAAUAAGGAGUUAGCACCCUCACACAGGUGUUUGUGACUUUUUAUUUUUAGACAGGGUCUCAGUAUGUAACUCAACUCAGGUUUACUUUGAAUCUACUAUGUAUCUCAGACUGGCCUUGACUUCAUUAUCUUUCUUUGUUAGUGGCUCUAGGGCUAUGAUUACAGGGGUGUGUCGCCAGACUCCACUGUAUUCGUGACAUUUAACAUGCUUUGCUUCUCUCUCUCUCUCUCUCUCUCUCUCUCUCGACAGGAUUUCAUUCUGUAGCCCAGGCUUGCCUGGAACAUGCUAAGUAGCCCAGGCUGACUUCAAACUUGAUAAUCUUCCUGCUUCGGUUUCCUGAGUGCUGGGUACACAGGAAUGAGCAAUCACAUCCAAUUUUAGAGAUGAUCUGUGCAGCUCAGGCAGAGCUCAGGCUCAAAAUUCCCCCACCUCAGCCUCCUGAGUGCUGGAAUAAUAGGCCUGCAUCGCCAUCCCAUCAUCCCCAUCUCUAUUUCUUAUAUAUAGUUCAGGAUCAAUAAACCUUUGGUGUAAAGUAUUAUGCAUAUUUUAGGCUUCAAGGCCACGCAUUCAUUCACAGUCUACUCUGCUGAAGCAACGGUAGAGCAAGAGUCAGUGAACCAAGCAUUCUGGGAAACCUCAUUAACAUUGAAGUGUGGUUUUCAAACCUUUUUCACACAUCAUGGUACUUUAUUCCUUAGAAUGUUCUCAGGCAUUACAAAUGUAGGUAGGUAGGUAGUGGUGGCAUGUACCUCUGACCUGGCACUCUGGAUGUACAUGCAGGCAGGAGAGUGGAGAGUUCAAAGCCAACCUGAGACAACAGUGGAUCAUAGGGGAUCCUGAGCUGUAACCCACAGAUCCUGUGCCUAAAACAAUAUCAAAAGAGAACCUCCCUAAAAAUAUGAAAACAAUUUUUAGUGCUUCUGGGGGAGGGUGACAUAUAAAAAUAGUAAGCUGGGCUUGUUUUACCAGCUGCAGUUUGCAGACUGUUGGUGAAACCAUUUCAAUUAAGUAGACUUUUACUGGCAACGCAGCAAAUGGAAUUAUUGGUAGGCUGGAAUGACAUAGCUCACGUUUACUAGUAAAUAAUUUUCUUUUGCUGUGCUAUAAAUUAUGUCUGGGGGAAAUCUAACAGUCUCUCCACCUUCAAAAGACCACAUUUAUACCCUUAGUUAAUUGUUUUUGAAUGUUCAUUUUUCUGUUUGUAUACGUGUGCGCGUGCGUGCGUGCGUGCGUGUGUGCGUGUGACAGAAUCUUGCUAUAUAACCCAUGCUGGCUUUGAAGUUGUAGCUAUUUUCUUGCUGUAGCCUCCUAAAUUUUGGGAUGAUAGGUAUGUGCUAUAACACCCAUGUAUACUGUCUUUAACUUACAAAAAUGCUUUUUUUCUCUUUUUUUCAGCAUUACAAAUUGAACCUAGGGCCUCACACAUGCUAGAGAAUUGCUUUGCCACUGAGCUAUGUCUCCAGCACAAUCAAAUGCUCUUUGUAGGCUGGAUUGAAUGGAUUGUAGUGUCUGAGCAAAAUCAUCUAGAUUAAUUAGCCAAAAAGUCUUGGUCUCUUAUAUGCUAGGGAAGUGGAACAUGGCCAUCUUCAGGGAGGAAGGUUUUCAAGGACCAGACACUGGGAGGAUUACAGUUUAAUGGCAAAGGAUCCUAGUCAAAGCACCCAGAUACUUGGGUAUGAUGUGGUCAGUACAAAUGCGGAAGAGUAGAGCUUCUAUAUAACUGUAUAGCUAUGUAGCUUUUACUUCUAAAAUUCCAUUAUGUACUAUAGCGUAACAAUUUCAGAAGACUAAUUAUGGAAUUCAUAUGCACAUCAAUUUUCACCAAAAUAUUUUAGUGUACACGACAGUAUUUAAACACACACACACACACACACAAAAACAAAAUUUAGUGUUUCAAAACUAAGAAUAAUAACAUAUAUGUAUAAAAGAGAUGCCAGGACACACACAUAACCAUCAUGCAUGUGUUGUUUUGGAUUAAUAGAAGUCAUGUUUUAAAGGAUCCAAAAUAGCUGGAUAUGGUUGCUUAUACCUGUGAUCCCAACACUCAGAGAAGUGGGUGGCAGGAGAAUCAGGAGUUCAAGAUCACCCUCAGCUAUACAGUCCUGGAUCCCCCACACACGGAUGCUUCUGCCUACAAUUGAGAUGAAUCUUUCUGAACCACUUAAUGGAAUCAAGAUAACUCACUACAGGCAUGCCAGAAGUCCAUCUCCCAGGGAUUCUAGAUUCCUUCAAGUUGGCAGUGAACACUGACCAGCACAGUUACAUUCUGUACCAAAUAUGUUCAUGAAGUUGGUAGAAUGAUUGUAGUAUAAUUUGUAUAAUUUUGAUAUUGUAGCCUUAAUAUUUUAAAAGAAAACUUUUUUCUCACAGUCUAUGCUUUUCUUUUGUUUUGAGAGUUAAUUAUAGGGGGUUGGGGAUUUAGCUCAGUGGUAGAGCGCUUGCUGGGCCUGGGUUUGGUCCCCAGCUCUGGAAAAAAAAAAGAGAGAGAGAGAGAGAGAGAGAGAGAGAGAGAGAGAGAGAGAGAGAGAGAGUGUUAAUUAUAACUGUUUUGUUUUUUCAUGUACAUUUAAAGACAGACAUUUUACAUGUUUACACCAAGGUCACCUUCUGGUACCUUUUCAGUUUAUGAUUUAGCAGCUUUGUGCCUGUCUAUGGAUUGCUUCCCUGCUACUAGCUAUCUGUGUGAUCUUGAGCAAAUAAAUCUUUGACUUUUGAGAUGAAUUUUCUCAUUUAUAGAAUUAAGGAGUCUACUCAGUGACCAGGAGGGUUCCUUGUGGGUUUAACAUUCUGUUUUCUGAUUACUAUUGCUAGGUAUUUAGUGAUUCUGUCAAAAUCGAGCAAAUUCAUCUUGACCCUAAGAGAGUAGGUCAUUGAAAAACAAAAACUAACGCAUCUCUCAUGGAGAGACAACUUGAAUCGCACUGGCUUGUUUGACUGUGAACUUGUUGGAUUUUUUUUUUUUUUGUGAGGGGAAUUCUGCCCAGAAUAACUAUGAUAAGGGAGUCUCUAUGGAGGUUAUGAUACACGGGGAGGGUGAUACAAUAUAUGUUCUUAGUCAGAAAGUCACCUGUCAUUAUACUCAGUGCCAUUGAGCAUACAGAGAUGUUUUAGACCCCCAGAGUAAAUUGGUCAGGUUACUGCUGUGUGAUUUGGGACUGCUUUUAGUGGAUGUGAAGCCGUGCUCAGUGGGAUUCAACGCAGCUAUAUUACUGUGUUCCUUAGAAGCCUUUGAAGAGUUCCUUAGAAGCCUACAUUGCAGAGCAGCUGGACUGAGGUAUUGUGGGAACUAUGAUGGCAAGUGGGACAGUUUCUGAGAGAUGAUGUUAUCAGGGUUGGGGAAAUAUGCUGCCGUAGGGUACUAAAGAUUUUACCUUGAUUUGCCUAUUAAGGAAAAAUUUCCAAUUGGGCUUCAGGAUGGUGAAGGAAAAUUAUUUUCCAACAUAGCCCAAACCAUUUGUUUAAUCUGACAUCUGUUUCUCUAAUCAGCACCACAGAAUUUUCCUAAAAGCUCACGAGGAUCUGGAAAGAUACACAGUUUUCCAGGGGACUCCCCCAGAAACUUCAAGCUGAUUUUUUUUCCCUAGACAGCCAGAGCUUUGUUUAUACGGCUUACAUCAAGUCCUAGACUUUGGGCAAUGUAGAAGCAAUUCAAUUUGAUUCAACAAAGACUUACUAGUAACCUACUGUGUACCAGUAAUGCCCUAGCGAUUAGGGCUAUAGUGGUCAAUAAGGCUGCUAUAGAUUAUGGUCUCUUGGAGCACCCACUAAAUUUCUGGCUAUCUAUUUUGUUAGAGUUUUGAGAAAGGGGAACAAUGAGGAGCUUCUAGGUAAAAUAUAGUCUGUUGUAUCUUUUGAGGUUCAGAUUUGUGGUGGAAGGAAAAGGAAGUUGACUAUGAUAAUGUAUUAUCUAUUGGCAAGAAGAAGAAAUGAAGAGAAAGAGUACCCACGUCAAGCAGACCUGUGUUUCACCACUUUGGUAACAGCCUUGGCAGUGAGCAAGCCAUCAUUAAUUCUUUUUUUUCCCCUUUUGGUGUUUUGAGACAAAGUCAGACUAUAUAGACCAGGCUGGCGGUCAACUUUUAAAAUAUUUUUUCUUUUGCUUUUCUGUGUGUAUGUGUGUAUAUGUGUAUGUAUGUGCACAUGCACAUGUGUUAUACACUUGUUUGUGUGUGUAUAUACCUUGUUCUUUUAAAUGAUUACAGUUUAAUUUAUUUGGUGUGUAUGUGUGACUGUGUGUGAGCGUGAGCAGGCCACAGUGCCAUGUGACUAUGACAAUUUCAGGAGUCCGUUUUUCUCUUCCCACCAUGUGGGGCCUGAUGGCAGAACUCAGAUCAUCAUUCCUGGCCGCUAGUGAGCAUUCACUGAGCCGUCUCACUAGCCCCCACCUUGAGUUUUUGAGAUAGGCUCUCCCACUGGACUUGAUGCUCACCAAUUUUUUUCUAGGCUGCCUGGCUGAUGACUUUGAGGGGGUCUUUCUGUCUCUGACCCUUCAGAUGCAUGCUGCCGCACCUAGCUUUCUAUGUGAGUGCCUAUGCGACUGGCACUUUAAUAAAAGAGACAUCUCUGUAGUCCUUGGCCUCCAACUUCUGUUUCUCUUGCUUCAGAUUCUAAAGUGUUGAGAUUGCAAAUCUAUGCUGCCAUAGCCUGUGCCACCAUGCCCUCCUUUUCCUCCUUCUGUGUUGUACUUCCCCAUUUUUUCACCCUAGAGGCAAGCAGUGAUGAUAAUUUGUCUGUCCUUUAAAAGAGGACUCUACUUCAGAACUUCUUUCAAUUUCUUCUUCCUUAGGAGUGGGUUCUAUUACAGGAAAGCAUUGGUCUCCCUAGGAUAAGCUUUCUUCUCUACUAUAUCUGGGUGAGAUGAGGCAUCAGGGUGUAUGCCUGUCAUCUCAGCACUUGGGGACUGUUAAGUUUGAGGCCAACCUAGGCUACAUAGUAAGAUCCCAGCUUAUCUAAAGAAAGUUGCCCCCGGGUGGACCGUAGACCCUGCCUAAAAGCAAGGACACUCUCCUUGCACAGACAAGGUCAAAUAAAAAAAAAAUCAGAACCAUAGAAAUCUAUUGAAGGCAAAAAUAGUGUGUGGUGGUUUGUUGAAGAAAAGCUGCCGAAUUUCUCUAACAGCUGUGUUGCAGCCCCCAUUGCUCCUCCUCAGAUUUGGUAAUGUUGAAAACGAAAGCUUACUGACAGUUGUAGCCCUGCAGCAUCUUACAGGGUAAAAGGGGAUUUUGGCUCCUCAAAAAGUCUCAUGCCCAGAACGUUGCCAUGUUUAAUUACCUUUGAAGACAGUCCACUAGAAAAGGUUCAUUCCUGGGGCUGCUUAAGGCUGCAUCUAGCAUAGUUGCCUUGCUAAGAACAGCACUAUUUACAGGGUGUUAACGCCCCAGCUACCUGAGACUUCUGUGUUAGUCUGGGCAAGGCAGUGCUUGACCCAAAACAUGAAAGCAAUAAUUGGGAGUUCCAACCUGUAUGAUAUGCUGUAUCAUUAUUCUAAUUAGACAGGGCAGUGGGGCAGGGAAUGUAAAUAAGGAUGCAGAUGGGAGAAGUGCUAAAACUAUCUAUCUUAUCAUAGGCUGAGUCUCUGUACAGCAGGGGUUCUCAACUUUCCUAAUGCUGCAACCAUUUACUACAGUUCCUCAUGUUGUGCUGACCCCCAACCAUAACAUUAUUUUCAUUGCUACUUCAUAACUGUCAUUGUGCUACUGUUAAGAAUCAUAAUAUAAGUAUCUGUGUUUGCUGGCUUAAUUACAAAUAUCUUUUAAAAAAAUUAUAGCCCCUUUACUCUGAAAAUUACAAAACAUCAUUGAGAGCUGUGGAUAAAGUAAAUCAGUAAGAGGGCUAGCCUAUCAUGAACAAGGCUCUGGGUUUGAUUUCCAUUCCCACCCCUGCAAACAUCACUGAAAGAGAUUAAAGAUCUACUGAAGGGGAAGAUUCCAAGGUCUUAGAUUAAAGACUAGUUUGAGAUGGAAGAUAUGAAGGAAACAUGGCUCUAGACAACAGAUCUGAUGCAUGUAUGAACUCAGAGACUCCAGCAUGCACAAAGCUAAGCCACAUAGGAGCCCAGUGCCAGGAGGAGAAAUAGACACACACCCCUGUCCUUAAACCAGAAGCUAUUUCCAAUUAAUAACUGUUUGGAAGGAAAAAUUGGUUUUCUCUGCUGGAGUAUCACUGGGCAUACAAACCAUAGCUAAGGACAGGUCCAGUGACCACAGUACAGGGCCAACACAAAACAGAUUCAGUGGUAACUGUGUCACAGUGCUUUGUACGUGCUGUUUUAUUCUUACUUUUUAUUCUUUUACUUUACAGAUUUUUUGCUUAUAUAUAUUAUGGAUUCUGAUUUUGUUUUUACCGUGUGUGUGUGUGUGUGUGUGUGUGUGUGUGUAUGUGUGUGUAUGUGUGUGUGUGUAUGUGUGCGUGUGUGUGUGUAUGUGUGUGUAUGUGUGUGUGUAUGUGUGUGUGUGUAUGUGUGUGUAUGUGUGUGUGUAUGUGUGUGUGUGUGUGUGUAUGUGUGUGUAUGUGUGUGUGUGUAUGUGUGCGUGUGUGUGUAUGUGUGUGUAUGUGUGUGUGUGUAUGUGUGUGUGUGUGUGUGUGUAUGUGUGUGUAUGUGUGUGUGUGUAUGUGUGCGUGUGUGUGUGUGUCUUACCAUCUGCCUGUGUUUCUUAUGCUUUUUCUUUGGCUCUUCUCCCCCUCCCCCCCAGUUUGUUUUGUUUUGUCCUUUUCUGGUUUCUUUUUUUUGUAUUUUAUUUUCUUAUUCCUUUUAGAUGACUUUGUUUUCUAAUGAUAGAAAGAAUGGGUGUGGAUUUGGGGUGGUGGCGAAGGAUCUGGGAGGAGUUGGGGGGCAACAUUAUCAGAAUAGAUUUGUAAAAGAAAAGUUGUUUUCUAUUUAAAAAAAGACACUGCUCCUUUCUUUCUUUCUGCCUGUCUGUGUCUGCCUGUCUGUCUGCCUUUCUCUUUAUUUUUCCGUUUUCUAAGACAAGGUUGCUCUGUGUAGCCCUAUCAUUCCUGGAACUCACUUUGUACAUCAGGCUGGCCUCAGACUCAGAGAUCUGUCUGCCUCUGCCUCCCAAGUGCUGGGAGUAAAGGCGUGCCACCACCACUGGGCUAGGAAAAGGAAAAUAUUUGUAUGGCGGCAACAACAACAACAACAACAGCAACAACAACCAAUCCAGUUAGAAACAAUGGAAGUAGCAAAGCAGGGCGGUGCCCACCUGGACUCUGGAGGUUGACGCUGGAGGGCAAGAGCUCAGGGUCAUUCUCAGCCACGUAGUUCAUUCAAGGCUGCUCGGUUAUUUGAGAUUCUAUCAUCUAAAACAAAACGAAAGAACAAUAACAGUAACAAUGGCAAUACAAACAAAAUCGUGGCAGGCAAGAGGUGAAGGAACUUAACAUUAAGCUUAACUACUGGAUUUCCAUCUCCAGGAGCCAUGUUGGGAAAGGAGAGAACAGAGUCCUUUAAGAUUCCUCUGCACCCAGGCAUACACACACAUAAACAAACAAACAGACAAAUAAUAAAAAUGGAAACAAAUGGUAACAAAGGCAAACAGUAUGAGCAGUUGAGAGUAGUGACAUGGCUCAGUAGGAAAGGGUGCUUGUUGUCAAGACGACCUGCAUUGCAUCUCUGGAACCCACAGAGUGGAAGGAAAGAAUCUACUGCUCUGUUACUUUUGCACCCUUGGGCUUGGCUUAAAAUCAUUCCUUGGGGGAAAUGGAAGUAAAAUCCACAAUAAGAUAUCCCACCUCAUUCACUAGGAUGGCUAUCAUAACAAGACAAAACAUUAUGGGAGAAUUUGCAACCCUCAUGUAUUGUUGGAUAUCUAGCAUGUUUUAGCUACUUGGAAAGUUUAGCUGCUGUCUUUGUCAGUUCUUCAAAGAUGGUUAAGCAACUGCCCCAUAAAUGAACUAUUUUAUUCUAUUACCUAUUUAUCUGUAUCUACACCACACACACACACACACACACACACACACACACACACACACGAAUUAUCAUCUAUAAUUACCAAACGUGGAAGAUAACCUAAAUGUCCAUCAACUGAGAGGUGGAUAAGUAUACAGUGGAAAGCCAUUUAUGAAAGACUACAUAUUGCUUAUGAUUCCUUUCAUAUGAAAUAUACAGAAAGCCGAUCUACUAGAGUAUUAGCACGUUAGUAUUGACUCAGGGUUGGAGGGUUAAAAUGUAUUGUGAUUGCCAGUGGGUGAGGAAUAUCUUGUUUGGAGUGGUGAGUGUUUCUUAAUUACAGUAUGAUGGUGGUUGUACAGCUCUGUGAGUAUGCUAAAACCCACCUAGUUAUACAUUGGGUGGAUUUUAGGGUACAUAAGUAGUAUCUUUGUGCUGUGUGUAAAAUAUACACUGACAUUGUGUUUGGAAAAACAGAAGUGGUUCUCUAUAUCGAACUUAGACCUGCCUUCAGCGCUCCCUUGUAUUAGACUUGAAUGUUUGAUUUGAAAGAUUCACAUCUGUAGCAUUGACUGUAUAUCCAGGGAAAGGAAGUUAAGAGAGAAAAUUCUCCAUCAGUGACCAGGAACUGAAGCCCAAUUUGGGAUUAGCAUGGGAUUCUCUGGUUUCCAAUUCCAGGCACACUCUGCAGACUUUGAAGCUGGUACUUUGCCUCAAUCUGUCUGGGUGCCCUUUGUUGGGGCCAGGAGUGUGUUUAUUUGAAAUGACCAGUUGGAAGGGUGAUACUGUAUUAGUGGAAAGUUCUCCUUUAUUCUUUGCCUGUAUCAUGACUGAGAUCAGGUGUUUACCCUGUUGAGCAGUCUCACUCCACCCUAAUUAGCAUCUGCUGUGUUUUCUUUCCUUGUUAUAGAAGAAUGGUAAUAUAUCCUAGUGGCAUGCUACAUGCCUUUUUUUGUCCCUUCCCUAGGAGUCUAGAGCAGCUGGUUGGGCAGUUCUAGGGGAGUCCCAGCUUCUCUGCUCAACUAUCGACUUAAUGCAAACAGCUGCUUUUUGAGUGGCGGGUAGUAUACACUGGGAAAUGUGUGGCAUUACUCAUGGGUGACAAAUUUCUCUCCCCUCCCUACAUUAUUUUUGUCCUAGGGCAGCGUGGAAUUUCUCACAAGUGGCCAGCAGUAGGGCCAACAGUACGAUACCAUAUUAGGAACUUCACAAAAGGCAGUUCUUUGGGGAAAGGUUUUCAUUAAGGGCUACCCAGAAGCAGGAAGGCCACACUUCAGCUUCCCAAUCUCUUUCCAGAGCCAGGUUGUUGUGGAAAUGCCUUUCUGUGUGAGUGGACAUGUAUGUACUAUGCACGUGGUAAUGGACAGUUGGAGACUGAUGCUGAAUUCACCCAUCCCCGAUUUGUUAAAUGGGAGAGGACAGUGAUGAACAGUCCUGUAGAAGGGCUUUGCAGGGGUUGGGGAUUUAGCUCAGUGGUAGAGCGCUUGCCUAGGAAGCGCAAGGCCCUGGGUUCUGUCCCCAGCUCCGAAAAAAAGAACCAAAAAAAAAAAAAGUGCUUUGCAGUUGCCUCUUAACAAUUUUCUUUAGAGCAGAAAAAUCAGAAACAGGAGAGUUGGUAAGGCGAAUCUGCAGAGUUGACAUGUUGAUUUUCUCUUGUCCUUGAAACACCAGUAUGGCCGCCUCCUAUUCAGGUGAUCUGGUGAGACUGUCUCCAGAAGUGCAUGCCUGAGUUCCCCAGCUCUGCGGGAGGGAGGGAUGAUUGUGAAUGGUACUAGAUGGGAAAGAAGGGGGAAUGGUGUGCUAAGUGACAGGCAGCUCAGCCGGGCUUGCAGUUUCCCUGGUAGAAAGGACGGGGAGAGAAAGCUGGGGUUUCUUGGCAUUUUGUUUGCCUUUCCUUUCUGAAAAACAGAUGGUGUUUAACCACUUUCAUUCUUUCCUUUUUAUUCUUUCGAAAUGAGGACCUCAGCUGUCCAGGCUGAUCUCCAGUAAUCCUUUCACCCGAGGAGCAUCCUAAUAGCUGGGAUGUAGGGGCCCAUUGCACCUGAGUCCCUCCCCUCCCUUCCCUUUCUUUCCCUUCCUUCCCUUCCCUUUCCUUCCCCUCCUUUACUGACGGUGUCUUACUGGGUAACCAACUCAUGAUUCUUCUGCUAUUACAGGCCUGCAUCCCCAUGCCCCCCUUCCCUAGUUUUUCACCAAUGGGCAGUGUCUUGCCAGAAUAGACUCAUAUAGUGCAAAGGGCUUUUGUGAUAUUUCACUAAACUCUUGCAUAUUUCAAGUGAAGAAAUGGAGGGUCAACACAUAUCCUAGAGCCAGUUAAGCACAGACUCAGUACUGAACCUACUAUUUGUCCCGUUGCUAUGCUCUGUAUACCACCGUCCACAGCGCAAGUGUCUGUUCCUCACCAACCUCUGUUUGCUGAGCUGCUUUUUACUUUCAGAAUUAUUUUCACCUUGUGAGAGUCUCUUCGGUGCUUCUAGCCAUGAAUUCACCCCCAGUGUGGGCCUGCAUACAACCAUACAUUUUACAGAUCUUCUGAAAUGGAGUAGGGGAAGGUUUAUUAAUUCUGAUAAGAUUAACGCUGUAGUUUUGUUUGUUUGUUUUUGUUUUAAUUUUGUUGUUGAUUUUUUGCAUGGCAGAACCUGGUGCAGUAGAUGAUCAAGAGAGCUUCUCUGACCACCCUCGAUCUGUAAAGGAGGAGUAAAUAAUUCUAAUGUAGUCCAGUUAGACUUUAAGUAUAACAAUGUUUGUUUUGGGUAACAAGCUAAGGGGGUGUGUUUGUCUGUCUGUCUGUCUGUCUGUCUGUCUCUCUCUGUGUGUGUGUGUGUGUGUGUGUGUGUGUGAUCCUGCAUGUGAGUUUUGAUGUAGAUCAGAGUGUAAACUACCAUUUGCAAAGUACUUUAUAAUAUUCAAGGUCUUUUUCUCUAAGUGAUGUUUUAUUUAUUCCUUGAGAAUUUCAUACAGUGUAUUUUAACAUUCUUUUCUUUGCCCCCAAGUCCUCCCAGAUCCUUUCCUACUUCUUACCUACGGAAGCAAACUUCUUCCUACUAAGUUCAUUUCACAUGUAUUCUUUUACUUAAUCUGUGAAGGAAGUGUUAGUACCUGCACUUCAUUGAUGGGGAAGCCAAUGCUUUACGAACUUUAGUGUGCUUUUAGGAUUGCUGCAUUAGUCAGUAUUGGGUUGGUUGGUUUUUUUUUUUUUUUUUUUUUUCAUUUCCACAGUGUACAAACUGUUAAGUGUUUGGGGCUAACAUAUAUUAGUUGAAAUCAGUUAUAUCUUUAGAUGGACUUGUGGCUGUACUGAUGCCACAUAUAACAAUAAAAAUAAGAACAUCAUGAUGUUGGAAUGUAGCUCGGUGUUGGAGCACAUGCCUAGCCUGCAUGAGGCCCUGCGUGUUUUCACCAGCACCACACAAAGCUUACUUUCUUUAUAGUAUUUUUCAGUUUAGUGGAGUUUCACCUGCCAUCUCACAACCCCAUGAGUUAAUCAGGCAGGACAUUAUGUUGUUGCACAGGUAAAGUAACCCAGACCACGAAAAAGGCCCCGUUUUAUUGUUGAUGAAAUUGAAGUUUAGUCAUUUGUUCAGAGUUACUCAAGGCAGCAGUCUGGGCUGUAAACUCUAAUCUGAAUUCGGAAGACUUUAAUUUUUUUUCCUGCUAGGUCACCCAGUGUUAGGAGUCAGCUGUCAUGUCUUGUUAGAAUCUGUGAAAUCUUUGUCUCUGCCUUGUAUAAUACAAGUUCUUAUUACAGUUGCUUGAUUCUCCCAGGUCUCUCUGACCUUCCUUCACACUCAGUAUUUUGCUUCUCCUGCCCAGACUUGUCAUACCAUCAUACCGUCAUACCUCAUACCGUCUCCUUACUUGGCUUCUGCACUUCCAGCAGUCCCAUCAGGGUCUUAUGCUGUCAGCUCCCCCUUGCUGCAAGACUCUAGGAAGCCCUUUCAGGUGCCUUGCCUUACUGUGCUUUGGUUUUUCAUUUGCUCUCUUAGCCAACCAACAAUUUAUCUACUCCACUUCAAAGAGUGAUUUCAAGCCAGUCUUUUAGAUCACAGGACAGGCAGCUUCCAUUCAAAGAGGUCAUAAGUAGCUGCAAGGAUAGAGGGCUUUGGGGCUAUUCCUUUGCUCCCUCUUACCCAUGUGCCUUUAAUCAGUUCCUGCUUCCUUGGCAGUAGGGGGAUAAUUGGCAUGGUUUUGUAGCAGUGGUCCAUUAUAGGGAUUUCCAGUGCAAUAGGCAGCUUUGUGCUAGCUAGCCUAUGCCUGGCAUCAUUACUGAAGCAAUUGUUGCUUUUGGGUCAGGUCUAACAAGUCCAGCAAGAUCUGACUGAUUAAAGCAUUCAGUUGCCCAAUGGGCAAGGCAGCACUUGCUUGCUUGGCCUUCUUUCCAGGGAGAAUUUUGAAGUAAGUGUGUGUGUGUGUGUGUGUGUGUGUGUGUGUGUGUGUGUGUGUGUGAGACGUUUAAGGAGUUAACUCUUGUUGGUAAUGUGUGGACCUCCAGUAGCCUCUGGCUAUUCUGGAAACUUCUGAUCAGUUGCGUCACUCAGGUUACUCAAGACGUGCAUCUGAGUUUAUGAGCCAAGCAAGAGUUAAUAACAUAACAUUUUUUUCUUUUUAAUUAACAUGUAGUAACUAUUCAUGGGCUUCAGUGUGAUACCUCAUUCCAUAGAUACAAUACACACUGAUCAAAUACUGGUAAGUUUCAUUGUCUUACAGUGUUUGAUAUUUGGAGACACUGAUUCUUGGAGUUCUUUUUUUUUUUUCUUUUUUUUCUUUUUUCUUUUUUCUUUUUUUCGGAGGUGGGGACCGAAUCCAGGGCCUUGCGCUUGCUAGGCAAGUGCUCUACUGCUGAGCUAAAUCCCCAACCCCCUUGGAGUUCUUUAUAACAUGUAAUAACAUUGUGAACUUUAGUCACCCUUGUCUAUAUUUUGAUGCCCAUCAUUUGAUUUCCCUCCAUUUUCCUUCCCCUCAUCCCCUUUCAAUCUCUAGAACUUAGUAUUCUGCCCCCUUCAGUUUGAGGUAAACUUCUUAGCUUUCACAGAUAAACCACAACCUGCUGUGUUCAUCUUUCUGUGCAUGACUUAUUUCAUGCAGUAUACUGUCCUCCAGUUCCUUUAAUUUUCUCACAAAUGAUGACACUUCCUCUUUUAUGCUUGAACCAUUGCAUGCAAUUUUCUUAAUAUCCUGGUACUCCAAAGCCCGGUUUGGUGCCUAUAGUUCUAGCACCAGAGAGGCCAGAGGAUUGCUGCAAGUUGGAGGACAGUCUGGGCUACAUAGUAAGUUCCAGUUCAACCAGUGCUAUGUAGUGAGACUGUGUCCCUAAACAAUAAAAAAAAACUAGAAAAAAUUGUUUAAUAAAAAAAAUUCUCUCAUCUUCUUGGCAAAAAAGGAGAAAUGUAGCCCUGUUCUGCCCACUGAGCCUGUAAAGGUUCUGGUUUUCUUGUUGAUGAGAAAUUGAAUGCGGCACUGUAGUUAGCUUUGAGAUGUUCUGUAAAGUUUCUCUUUGAGGGUAAUUGGUGGGGGGAAACUCUGUAGUUUUGCAUUUGUUUGCUCUUUGUUGAAAGUCUUAGAAAUAAAGGAGAGGGGGUAAAGAGUCAUUUUCUUUUCUGGAGGUCUUUUGUCUCGCUUUGUACUAAAGCAGGGGUCAGCAUACUAUAUGACAUGUGGCCAAAUCUUACCCAACACUCAUUUUUUAUAAAUAUCUAUUGUUUUAGGACAGAAUUUUUAAUGCCCACCCCUUUGACUUGAUAUAUUCAAUGGUUGGUGUGGCAGAUGGCAGAAUUCGUUCAUUGAAUCGGGGAAACAGUAGCACUCAGAAGGCUGGAAUAAACAGAGCAAUGUUGAUUUGCCAUGGUUGGCUCUGGCAGGGUGUCUCAUUCCUUGACAGUGUCUGGUGUUGGCUGGGCUAGUGUAGUGAGGUGUGCAAGGAAGUGCUUCUGGAAAUAGCCUACUUCCUCAUCCUGCAUGAAUGCUUGCUAUCCAGAUGGCACUUCGAGGUGACUUGCCCUGGCAAAGUGUUGCCCCUAAGCAAUGUUUUCUUAGUUCCCACCGUGGGGCAUAACAGAGUGUCAGUUCUCAGUUCUAACUCAGGUGUUUGGCUUUCCCAAAUGCCCACUCAAAAUCACAAUGGUUUAAUGGUUUUCUAGUAUCAAGCUGCUUGCUUGCUUGUUUCCUUCCUUCCUUCCUUCUUCCCUUCCUUCAGCUUCCUUCCUUCCUUCCUUCUUCCCUUCUUUCAGCUUCCUUCCUUCCUUCUUUCUUUCCUUCCCUUUUUCUUUCUUUCUCAUCAUCAUCAUUUUCUUCUUCAUCUUCCUCCUCCCUUUCAGUUUGGACAUGGUUCCGUAAUGUUCAGGCUCAUCUCAAAUUUUCAGUCCUCUUGCCUCUUAUUAUGUUCUGUCUUUGGGCCUUUGGGACCAUUUAUGGAGGUGCUUUUGUGUGUAUCUAUUAUUGCUUUGGAACUCUGAGCUCUGAGAUGAACUGUUCAAUUAAGAAGCAUCUGCAGCUCUGCUCUCAGCUAGGCAAGGUUUCAAUGUUACGUUCUCUCUUUGUCGUAAGGUAACAGGGGCUCAUUUCUCUCUUUGAUAAGUUUGGGAAUUUCUGGUUUCUUAAAGGGGCCAAACAGCAGCUCCCUUUAGAGACAACAAUGAUGUAAUAUACUAAGCAGUGAAGGAGAUGGGACAAGAACCACAGAAGUCACCACAGGGCACACUGCCCAGGCAAGCUGUUUGCAACUGGCCAGAUAAUAUUUCACUGAAGCCUAAAGAAAAGGAAUGGUGUGGAUAACCUUUCAGUUUCUAUAUAGUCCUUUAUUUUAAUGGUGUUAUUUUGGGGUGAUCUGAUGAGGAUUAUUUUUUUUUACUUGAAGUGUGUGGCAGCUUGUGAUUUAUGGUUACUUUACCAAGAUGGAGUGAUCUGGACUCUAAAGUCUAGCUAGAGAGAAUAAUCACAGGUUCUCCUUUGUGAGCAGGCCAGAGAGAAUGGAAAACUGAUGUUUAGAAGAGGUUCAGAGAGCUCAAGCCUUUCUCCUGCUUGAGAGUUGGAGAAGACACACGAUUAGAUUGUUGCCUUGUGAAUUUUUUCUGUAUUUGGAGAGCACCAGAAACUAUUUGGGAAUCUCUAACCUCAAGGCUUUAUGUAAGCCUUCUACUUUUGUAAUCUCACGAAUUUAUAGGACAUUCAGGAUGGAAAUAGUUGAAGAAAUAGGAUUGGCUGAACUUGACCUUCUAAUCUUCAAUUUUGGCCUAUUUGCUAUCUAAGGAAAUUAAGCUUAUCGGCAAGGAGUGGCAUAGGUUAACAUAAUGGCAUGGCCUUGCAGAAAUUAAGAUUUCCUUUGAAGGCUGGUAGACCUGGGCUUUAGGCUUGUCGUGUGUGUGUGUGUGUGUGUGUGUGUGUGUGUGUGUGUGUGUAGGUUUGUGGAUGGCAAGAGUCUCCCUCAGUUGUUUCUCACCUUGGUUUUGUUGUUGUUGUUGUUGUUUGUUUGUUUGUUUUGAGACAAUGUCUUUCUUUGACCCUGGAGAUUGGCUUGGAGUUAACUCUUGUUUUGCUGUCUUGAGACAGAGGCUAAUACAUGCCGGGUGUGCCUGGACCUGGCUGAGGACGAGGAUGCAGCCUCAUAUAUUUGGGUAGGCUAGCUGCUCUCCCCCUCCCCCAGCACUGUGAACAAAGACGUGUGCCACUAUGCCUAGGCUUUACAUGGGUACUGGGCAUGCAAAGUUGGGUUUACAUGUUUGCAUGGUAAGCACUUUAUCCACUAGAAUACCUUCCUAUUCUCUAUCACUUUCUUAAAGUCUCAGUUUUCUCAACUAUAGGGAGAUUUCAGUGCCAAUUUCGGUCACUGAAUAUAUGGAUAAACUAAUGUAGUUGAAAAUAUCCACCCCCCCACACCAUGCAUGUCUCCAGUGCUGGGGACUGAAUCCAGGGCUGUGCACAUGCUAGGCAAGUGUUAAACUGUAUCUUCAGAGUUAAAAAUUCUUAAACUAUUUAAGUACUUACCCAUAUAUUUAUGGUAGUAUUUAUGUGAUAAACUUAAAUGGGUAAUAACGGUAACUUGGCUGGAGUUAUAUUUACAUCUUUCUUUGAAAAUUCCAGAGUACCUUUCAGGAAGUGACAAGCAAAGGAACAUGCAUGUAAAUGUCAUCCUGCCAUAGGGCCUUAUGGGUACUUGAGGUACAGUAAAGUAGGAACUGAUGAGAGAGCCUUCCUAGGGUACCACAUCUGAGCAGCCACAUUCUCACACAAGAUAGUGAUAUGCCCUUUUCCCUGAAGCACGCCCCCCUCCCACCAUUUGUAAUGUGCUAGUACUGAGGAAGGGGACAACCUUGUUGACAAAAUUCCUAACACAGUUCCUGGUCCACAGCAUUCUUUAUUUGAUUUGAAUGCAGUAGUGAAUCUUUUUCUAGGCUAUGAACUGAGACCCCUAAACAGUGACUUUUUGAAAGGAUUCACAGAGACAGUGGCCAUGAUGAUAACAGGAUAGGGUUUUCUGCUUUGCUUCUUACCCACCAUCCUUCCUUUUUCUAGGCUUUUGUUCCUGUCACUUCAUAAGAGGGACUUCCUUCCCCCUUAUCAGCUGAUGGUCUGCUUCCUCUAAAAUAGUGAGAUUGGCUUAAAAGUGAACUAGGAAUGGCAUGUAGCAAAGAAAGGACAGAAGUCACAUAAAAAAUUUGCCUACUGCAGCAGACCUGAGGUUGGACCAAAGUGCCUGGGUGUGGGCAGAGAAGGAUAGACAGAUGUAGGGUGGGUUUUCCAAACAGGCCGGGUAGAUUAGAAGAAAGAGCAUAUUCGUGUUAGUGUGUGCUGUGGGUGUAGCGAGGAUGAAACCUUCCCUAGCACGGAGUCUUUGAAUGUAUGUAUGUAUGUAUGUAUGUAUGUAUGUAUGUAUUCCCUCCAAGGGUGUCAUAUUGGUAAUCUUGCAAUUGCCUUUUCUUUUACUGAGCUAGUAAACACUUAGUGCGAUGUUCAGAGAACUCUCAAAGAAUAGAUGGACACUGUCUCUAGAAAGCUGGCUACGUUUUGAACCUUUUACUAUGCCCCAGUUGUUAAAGAUGUCAUUUAAAACACCCAGAGGAGAUUCACGUAGAAUCUUCUAUGCAUUAGACCUCAACAAGCUAGAGAGGAAGAACUUCACCGUGACUGAAGACUGUUUCACUUGUCUUUCCCUUUGUUACUUGUUUGGCUUAGAAUUACUGCAGCAACCCUUUCUAGUGGCUGGAUGCAGUGACCAAGGUGUGACUGAAGUUACAAGCGGUUGUGAGCUGUUAUGUGGGUGCCAAGAAUUGAACCCAGGUCCUCUGGAAGAGCAGCCAGUGCUCUUAACUCCUGAGCCACCUCUCCUGCCCCAUCUGGACAUUUUUUUGUCUUCCUGAAAUACCUUCUGUUGUCUCAGGACAUUCUGGACAUUUUCCUGAGCAUUCCAGGAUAUUAUUGUCACAUCUAUAAACUUUAUAAUACUCUACCUAAUGAUGGUUGUCAUUUUGCUGCACCUCUACUGUUUAGAAUCAGUCUAUAUCUCUUUUCCUGGUUUGCAGAUAAUCAGAUGUUCUCAGGGGAUACUGUAUUACACUCAUGGAGAUCAUCUAGGAUGAGGCUAUGACUUAGUAGGGAGAGUACCCAGAUCAUGUGCAGCUCAACUAAGCAAUGUAAGGCAGACCGAUACAUGUGUGUUGUUAGCAAAACAAAAUUUGGAUAAGGAAGUGACAAUCGAGAUAAUCUGAAAUAGGAAAGGAACCUGUACAUCUCUGGGGAUAAAAGCUGAUUUAAGAUCCGCAAAGCAUGGGACGUUGGAGCCAUUUUAUGUAGGGGUCAAGAGUACUGUGUUCCUGAACAUUGCACACUUAUAUAUGAUAGCCUGAGACAUUUGAUGGAGUAAUGGGACUGGAUCAUCUUCAACAAUCUAAGAAGGCACGCAGGACAUUUUUUAAAGAUAUAUUUUAUGUAGGAAUGCUCCAUCUGUGUGUAUACUUGCAUGCCAGAAGAGGGAGCCAUAUCUCAUUAUAGACAGUUGUGAGCUACCAUGUGGUUGCUGGGAAUUGUACCCAAGACGUCUGGAAGAGCAGUCAGUGCUCUUAACUGCUGAGCCAUCUCUCCAGCCCCAGAAAAAUCUUAAAUAUGUUAUCUACUUAAUACUUGAACAGUUGAAGUCUAACAUUUUCAGUGUUUAAAGGCAUAACAUUUAUUUAAACUGGAAAUUAACAUAAAUUAUCUGAUAAUCCAGAGCAAAAGGGCAUUUUUCAUUAGUAUAAUUCCAAAGGAUUGUUACUGUUUUGCCAUUAGAUAGUUUUAUAUUUUAUGUGUAAUUUACAGGUAAGAUGUCAUAGACAAGGUACUGUUUGCCAAAUUUGUAAUGUCAUUUGGAGAUUAAUACCUGUUUCUGACCUUUUCUGUUAUGUCACCAAGCAAGACAUUUUUAUGACUAUAUGCAUGUGUAUCUUAUUUUCGGUGCUGGGGAUUGAACCCAGGGCCUAGUACAUUCUAGGAAAGCACUGUACCAGAGAACCGCAUCACCAGCCUUAGAAAUCUAUAAAUUCUACAGGUCUUUCCUGUAUUUUGUUUCAUCAUAUAUACAGUGAGACAAAGUAUUUUUGCUCCCAUUUAUAGAUGGAAAUACUGAGGCUUAUGACAGGAUCAAUGAGCAAUAUAUUGAUGUAGGUAAAAGGCAAUGGAUUUAAAUCUACAAUAGAUCUUUUGGUUCUAAAGCAGCAGUUCUCAACCAUUCUAACGCUGCAUCCCUUUAAUACAGUUCAUGUUGUGUUGACCUGUUAGCCUUUCUGCUCAGAUGGGAAGGUGUCCUGGGCUCAGAAGCCUAGGAACUACACAGCUCUGAGGUGGAACUUUGUCCCAAUGGAAAGGCAUCCCAAGACAUGGGAGCCCAGGAACCACAUAGUUCUCAGAGGAAGCCUCCUCAGGAGGGGUGGUGCAGCCUUAGCCCCAUUCCUCUCUUCUUCCCUUCUCUUCAUUGCUUUUUGUCUUCUUCUGGUGAGUCGCACCAACCAGCAAAAUCUCAUAAAAGAGAUCUGAGUUCAGGGAAAUGAAGGCUCCCAGGAGGGAGCGGAGAGAAGCAGGGAAUUGGUCAAAAUGCAGUGCUUAUAUAGGAGUUCUUGGGGGUGGAGCUUUCUAGGGUGGAGAUUUCCAGGGUGAAGAUUGGCUGAAUGUCAAGUCCUGAGCUUGUGGGAGCUCAGGGAUUGGUAGGUUUUCCUGUUCAGGGAUUGGUGGGUUUCUGUGGAAAGUUCAGGGAUUGGUGGGUUUUCCUAUUCAGGAAUUGAUGGCUUUUUUCCCCGACUUUUCACCUAAAAUUAGCAUAAUCUGGGGAGGGUCCUGUUGAGGUGUUGGAAAUGACAUUUGUGACAGUUAUGACAGUUAGGGAGGUCUAGGGGAGGGGCUGCUGAGGUCUGGGGGUGGGGCUGCUGGAGGUCCUUCGGCGGGCACCUGGCCACUUUCCUGCCUUGAGCGCCUACAGCGUUUACAAAGUAUAUAAAGUUUACAAAGUAGACAGAGUUUACAAAGGGGACCCACAGCAGGGAAAGCCUUUCCUGCCAUUUGAGAGGCAUGAAUAUCAAACAACCCCUAACCAUAAAAUUAUUUUCGUUGCUCCUUUAUAACUAAUUUUGCAACUGUUAUGAAUUGUAAUGUAAAUAUCUGAUAUGCAACCCCCAAAGGGGUCACGGCCCACAGGUUGAAAACCGCUGCUCUAAAGCUUUUGUUUUCUCCGGUCUUCCAUAUGGGUACCAUCAUUUAUCCUUGUAUUUUGGAACAGUUCUGGAAGCAGCUAGAGCAUAUAGACAUCAUCACCUCUUAUCCCCAUUUUACCAUAUCAAUUAAUACAAGGGAAAAUAUUAGGUGACUAGUUCAAGGGACAUUGAUGGCCAGCACAGGAGAAAAAACAUUUCACAUGGGAUAAUGGGCUACAUGAUGGGUAAACAAGUUCUUAUAUUUAUGUAGCAUUUUGUCAUUUCAGGGUAAAUAGUGUGUAUCUGCUCUAUGAUAAUGUUCCCUGCAUGAAUUCCUUUUAUUUUAUUUUUAAUUGUGUGUGUAGGUGUGUCUGGCUAGUCUUAAUAUCAACUAGACACAAGCUAAAGUCAUCAGAGAAGAAGGAGCCCCAAUUGAGAAAAUGCCUCCAUAUGAUCAGACUGUAGGCAAGCCUAUAGGGAAUUUUCCUAAUUUCUGACUGAUGGGGGAGGACUCAGAUCAUUAUGGGUGGUUCAGGAUUCUAUAAGUAAGCAGGCUUACCAAGCCACAAUGAGCAAACCAGUAAGUAGUAUCCCUCCAUGGCCUCGGCCUCAGCUCCUGCCUCCAGGUUCCUGCCCUGCUCUAAUUCCUGUCCUGACUUCCUUUAGUGAUGAACAGUGAAGUGGAAGCAUAAGCCAAACAAACCCUGCCCUCCCCACCCAACUUGCUUUUGAUCAUGGUGUUUUAUUAUAGGAACAGCAACCCUGACUAAGAUUCUGUGUGUGUGUGUGUGUGUGUGUGUGUGUGUGUGUGUGUGUGUGAAUGUGUGUGCAUGCGCAUUUGUGCAUGUGUGAGUGCUGAUGCUUGUGGAGGCCAGAAAAGUUCAUUCUCUAGAAGUGGAGUCAUAGGGAAUUGUGAGCCACUCUGUGCACGUGCUUCAAAUUUAACUCAGGUCCUCUACAAGAGCAGCACACACUCAUCACCACUGAGCUGUCUCUCUAGCCCCACCCAUAUGUUUUUAAUGAUGGCAAAGCCACUGUAAAUUUCGUACCUUGACUGUUUUUAAGUGUACAGUUCAGCAGUGUUAUGUAAACUUACUUAGGCCCCACACCAUUUGCAUUUUGCAGUACUGAAAUGUUUUCCCUCCUAACGCUAAUUCUUCUUUCCCCCAAGCCUUUGAAAGCUUCUUUCUACUUUCCAUUGAUACUGGUUUUGCCCUUUAAUUUACUUUACCUGAGUAGAAUACAAUAGUUGCCCUUUUGUUACUGGCUUAUGCUGCUUAGCAUAAAGCCAUCAAAGUUCAUUCAUGUUUUAGUGCAUGUGAAAAUCUCACUCAAUUUAAAGGCUGCAUAUAUCUUUUGCUUAUUGGCUUGUUCAUCAGUGGGCCAUCUGGGUUGUUUCUACCUUUUAGUGUUUGCGACUGGAUUCAUGCUACAAUGAACAUUGAUAUGCAAAUACAUCUCUGAAGUUUAGGUUCAAAUUCCAUUGCCUAUAUAACCUGAAGUGGAUUACCUAAUAGUUGUAUUUAAAAUUUUUAAGUAAACACGAUACUAUUUUCCAUAAUCGCUGCACAAUUUUGACACCUCAGGACAAUUUUUUUUUUUAAAGUCGAUGAUUUGUUACUUACAUGAUAAGUAAGUCAUUUGGCUUCUUUAUCUGUACAAAAGCUUAAUGAUGACAGUGUUCUUUACUCUAGACAAACUGCUGUGGGAACUCACAAAAUGGUGCCAACUGGGUGCUGCCUCGUGUUGCGAUGCUCAGCUCAUUGAAACUACUGAAAAGUGAGGUUCUGGGGAACAUAGGCAUUUUCCAUGAACCUUGGUGGUACUGUCCCAUUUGCUCAGGACCUUCCUGGCCCACCAAGUGUGUUACAUCAGUACCCAGAGCCUUAGACUUCAGAAUGCUGCCUCUGUUGGGAUUAAUCAUUGCUCCUUUGACUUGUUUUGCUGAGCUCAGGAUCACACACCAGGCAUACAAGAAACAGUCAGUUGGUACUGUUCUGCGAGUGUCCACAGCAGUACAUCGGUGACAGAGACAUCUUUAUUAAAAAAGUAUUUAUUUAUUUAGAUCUGCAAUAAGGUCUUACUAAUGUAAGCCCGAGCUGGUCCUAAACUAAUGGAGCUCCUGGUCACAUUCGGGGUACUGAGUUCAGUUUAUUUAUUUGUUUUAAGUUGAAAGGCAUAGUUUCUCUUGAUUCGGUUACUAAAUUAGGUGCUUCUUGGACCCUGCCUGGAUUUCUGCACAUUGGAAAUGGGUUAUCAUUUCAACAUCAAUACCUUUGAAAAGAAAACAUGCUCACAUGUGCAAAACAUUGCUGAUCUGGAGGAAAGAGUAGUAAUUUUAUAAAGGCUCACAUUCAACUCUAAUAAGCACUGCAGUUCCCUAAGAAUGUUUCUUUUUUCUUUUUUUUUUAAAGAGAUUAAGUUAUUUAUUUAUUUAUUUAUUUUUAUUAACUUGAGUAUUUCUUAUAUACAUUUCGAGUGUUAUUCCCUUUCCCGGUAUCCGGGCAAACAUCCCCCUCCCCCCUCCCCUUCCUUAUGGGUGUUCCCCUCCCGACCCUCCCCCCAUUGCCGCCCUCCCCCCACCAGUCUAGUUCACUGGGGGUUCAGUCCCUAAGAAUGUUUCUUACUGGGAGUUUUGUCUCCUUGAUUUUAUUUUAUUAGCAGUAUCUAUCUAUCUAUCUAUCUAUCUAUCUAUCUAUCUAUCUAUCUAUCUCUAUAUAUAUAUAUCUCCCAUACUAUCUUGAAUUUUAUAGAAAUCCUCCUGUCUCUGCCUCCUGCCUUGCCACUAUGCAUGGCAGGGCAAUUUAUUUGCUCUCAAUACUGGGGAUGGAAUUCAGGGCCUCCUGCAGGCUUGAUGAGCAGCACCGUAUCAGUGAGGUGGUCUAUCUGGAGCUCUAUUCGAGGGUGUUUCAUUUGACUUUUCAAUGUGCCUCUCUUCUUUCUUUAAGGAUGAUUCUGUGCGCUUCUUGGGUUCUGUAUCUGGAUUCUGAGGCUUGUGGUCUGAAGACUUUCAAAAGCAGACCUGCAGAGCAUAGAUUCCAAAAUAGAGACGUCUGCUGAAGUGUGCGGACAUGAACCCUUUGGAACUAGGUUUCUUUUCUCCAGAGCGCACAGCCAUGCUUGGCACCUGGCCCUGCGUCUUUAGCUUUUAGUUUUUCCAUUGUCUUCUCACCUCACUGUCUUCCAUUUGUGGAGGCUUUGGAAAAUUUCAGUCCUCUGGGACACUGCCUUUCUUUGCAGGCAAGUUGCUCCUGAUGCUCCUGUACAAUUGUAGUUCUUUACUAGGAUAUUCUGUAAUUUAUGAUUAGCUGCUUUUGUUGCUUUAUCACAGAGGAAGUGUAUAUAGCAUGGGUGUUCAAUUAUCAGUUUUAAAAGUCCUCCUGAUCAUGUGUGGAAUCUGUCUCGACCCCUUUUAUUAUGAAAAUGAAUGGAAUCAUUUGAAACUUGGCGUCAGCAUACCUCUGAACAUUGUGCCAGACUUAUUUCUUGUUUGUUGCUUUGAUUAGCAUGUGCUGUGCGAUACGCAGUCCCACCUGUGAGUCUUCCUGGGCUGUCGAAUGAGAACAGACCACAAAGCCUUUCCACAGAAGAUAUGUGACAGGAUUUGUUUACACUUGGGUUUUAAUUAUUACACUCACUCUGGCAUUUAGUCAUUUCCUUUGCUUCGCUUUGAGUAAAAACCCAGCUAAGCAUUUUCCUCACAUCCCACUGACUUCCUUAUUUUGGUUUCUGGUAUUGCUAGCCAGACAUGAAACUUCAAAGACAGCCUGUUCAUUUGUCUUCCCGUCUUCUGUCCCUCCCAACUUCCUUCCUGUCUUUUGCCCUGACCUCUCACACAGUAGAAGGCCACAUCUGUGAGGUUUCCCUUCAGUAGUGUGUCUUUUGCAAUUACUGCACUUUUUCUCUUACCCACUUGUCUCCUGCUGCUUUUCCAACCCUGCUUACAUUUUUAUCUGAAAAAAUAGUAGUUCCCUACUAUUUUCCCCCUUUAGUUCGUGUGAUGAACCUGUAGAUGAAGUGCUCAGUGACCAACCCCCAGGACUACUCCACUACUCCUCACGCCAUGGCCUUCUUCAGGAAAACAGUUGCCCCAGUUUUGUGGUUUUCCACGAUAAGUCCCGCUGCCUUUGCAGUUAUACUUGAAAAUUUUGAAUAUGCUAAAAGUUGGAGAGAAGAUGAAAAUUAACCUGUGUGUGCCCAUAUACAAUGCCAACAAUGAGCUACUUUAUGGCUGGCUUGCUUUGUUGAUAGCUAUUACCUAGUGCCUUCCCCUUGGGUUUGGAUUAAUUCGAAGCAGUUCUCAGAUACCCUAUCAUUUAAUUUAUACGUACUUUCGAUUAAAUGUAUUUGUUCACAUAUGUGUGUACUUUCGGGGACCAAGUCCAAGGCCUGGUGGAGGCUAGACAAGAACUCUGUCACUGAGAUUCACUCAUAGCUCUGAAAUCGAUUUUUUAUAGUAUUAAAUUAUAGCAAUGGUAUGAUAGUGACUAAUUUUGGCCACUGUGGAAACAUUGAGAGACAUUUUGGAAAAUAAUCAGAGUUGAUGACCUCACUUGGACUGGAGAAAGCAUAAUUGGACAUAAUCUAUCAUUAGCAGGGAUAAUGAGUGUUUGUAAGAGUGUAAGUCAGUGGUAGAAUGCUUCAUCAGGGGUGGUGCAGUAGAAGAUUGAGCCCAGCACAGUCGCCACCAGCCUAAGGGGUUCCCUUAGGUUUUAGGGACCUCCACUCCACUAAAUCUGGAUCCUUGACAUCAGCUUACCCAGUUUUACAGUGCUGAUGAUCAAACCCAUGGCUUCUUACAUGCUAGAGAAUUGCUCGACUAAUUCACCUUCAUUCCCUGACCUCCUUCUGUUGGAAUUCUUGCUUCUCAGCUGGUGCUGGGCUUCAACGAGGCUCUUAAGUGAGUGGCUACUUUCCCCCCAAACUUUCCUGUGUUUUUACCUUGCUUUAGUCUUUCCUGUGCUGUUUGAUGCUUUUCAUGAAGAUUUAUAGAGAUGUAGUUGUUCGCUCCAGGCCAAGAGAGCAUCAACAGAUCAAAGAAAGAUUUCACCCAAGUCCAGCUUGGCGUACCAAUGAAUUUAUUAUUCCUAGGAGUAUGUGUAAGGUUGUUUACAAGAACCUGAGUAACUCCAAGGAAUUUAUUCUAUCCACCUUUAUAUUCUCUCCAGAACCACUGCAGCUGGGGCCAGCAGGGAGUGGUGACUCUCAGGUGAGAGUCUGGUCCCUCAGCAUGUUCUCCUUCUAGGCAAAAAUGGUAAUUCUUUUACCAGGGACCUAUCUUUCACUGUAUUCUCUGCUUGUUUCAUUGUCAUGACUCUGAGACAGUGUAUUUUAUAGGUCACCACAGUCAUUCUGCUUCAUGCUGGCUGCUGGUCAUGUCACAUACGAAGUCAAAUAGCUCCACUACAACAAUCUGCUGGGCACGUGUGACACCACCGCCAUCGCCAUCUCCCCUCCAAGCCCAUUACAGUUUUAGCUCUUAUGUCUUUGAUCAUCUUUCUUUCAGCAGUGCUGAGGAUCAAAUGCAGAGUUUCACACAUGCUAGGCAAAUGCUCUACCCAUGAGCUGUAGUGCCAGCACCUUUGAACCAUCUGAGUUGUUAUUAUUAUUUUUGCAUAUGGUAAGGCUUCAUUUUCAUUCCUUGGCACACGGAUGGCCAGUUUUUCCAGUACCAUGUUUUGGGAAGAUUGCCUUUUCCCCAUAGAAUGAUCUUGGGCUAUUUUUUGAGAAUUAAUUAACCAUAUUCUAUGGUUUGUUUCAUUUGUUUAUGUGUCUGUCAUUAUGCCAGCACCACAUUGUUCUGAUUAACAUGGCCUUUUAGUAAGUUUUGAAACCAGAAGUGUGAUUCCUCCAAUUUUGUUCUUCUUUUCCAAGGUUGUUUUGUUUAGUUAGUGUGUCUUUUGAGAUUACAUGUGAAGUUUAGAACUUUUCCUAUUUCUGAGAAAAGCACUUAGAGCUUGUAUUGAAUCAGGAUUGUGCUGGGUGUUGUCCUCCAACAGUAUUUCUAAUCUUUAGUUUUUUAAAGUGCACCAUAUCCUUAAUUACUCAAAGCAAUGUUUUGUGCUUUUUUUCUUAAACAAAUUUUUACGUCCUAUUUUAAAUUUGCUUGUUUUUAAGUCUGUAUUAAGCGAAAUUAUUUUCUUUAUUACUAAAAUGUUUCAGGUUUGGAAUUCAAUGUGGACACUGAGGCUGAUUGUUCUCUUGGGUAAGAGAUUUAUUAGAAGAGUCCCUAAUGCCACAGACAGGUAGAGAGCAGCAUGGUGCCCAUGUGGAAGAGAGAGGUCCCUUACAUGUGUCAGAGAAAGCAGGGUAGUACUAUGCCAUGCGAUUGAUGAGUAGUCUAUUGUGUGCGUUUGGAAUCAGGCUGUCUUUGAAAUAGCUGGGAGCAUUGGAAGGGCAAGGAUAUGGAAAGAAAACCAAGUUACGUCAUGAUUAGUUUACUUUUUAUUUUAUGUGUAUGAAUGUUUGCAUGUCUGUGUGCUUCGUGCUUGACUGGAGCCUCUGAAGCCCGAAAGACAGAUUCAAAUCCCCUUAAUGGAGUUACAUAUGGUUGUGAGCAGCCAUGUAGCUGAUAGGGCCCUACCUGACAGACUCCUCAGCAGGAGUCCUGGACAUUCUUAACUGUAAGUAGCUACUUCAGCUCUGAAAAAAUAAGUUACUCUAGUUCUGGGACUCAGAUUGCUAUAGUUUGGGAAUUAUCAUGCUUCGAACAAAACAGGGAAGAUUUCCAAAGUGGUUGUGGCUCUAGCUAACAUUUAUCUUUUUAGAUUGCUUGUCAUUGAUAUAGAGAAUUGCAACUGAUUUUUACAUGUAGAUUUUGUGUCUUGCAGUUUUGCUGAAUUUAUUAGCUGUGCUGUUUUCUAGUAGAGGAUCUUUAGAGGUCUUUUUUGAUAAAAACAUCAUUACUUAUAUACAGAGAUGAUUUUCAAGUUCUUUUAUUGCUCUGUCUAUAACUAUAUGUGGAAUAGUCAAAAGGGAGCAGACGUUCUGGUGUUAUUCUUAACCUUGAGAGCCAAAACUUCCAAGUGUUCACUAUUGAAAAUUAUGUCACCCAUGUGUUUUAUUUCAAUGAUUAUUUUAUCUGAAUAGGUGUUUUGCCUGCAUUUAUGUCUGUGCACCAGGUACACGUCUUGUACCCUCAGAGGUCGUAAGAGGGCAUCCGAUCCUCUAAAAUUGGACUCAGAUGGUUGUGAGCUACCAUGUGGGAAUCUAACACAGGUCCUCUGCAAGAACAGCCAGUGGUAACCACCGAGCCAUCUCUUCUCCACUCACCUUCUCACUUCUUUCCCUCUAUUGCGUUCCUAGACAAUUCUCAUUACCUGUAGAAUUUGGAAAUGAUGGCCCCUUUGGAGCAAUGAGACUGGAGGCAAGGUGGUAAUGGGUGGUGGCAGUUGUUGCUGCAGCAAAGUGGGGAGGGACUAUUUCAACACAGCCUUUGAAUUGUUCCUGUGAACUUGUGUUGUUUUCGGAGUAAAUCACUUGAAAACAGUGAAUUAAUGACUUCCAUCCUGAGACAUUUAGAUUCAUUAGUUCUAGGGUGGGGCCAGGAAUCUAUGGGGUUUUAAAGUUCUCCCAAAUGAAUUUGUAGCAGCUUUCUAAAUCACGUGGCCCCUCUCUUGUUCCUUUAGAACUUCAUUGCACUCUUUGUUUUUCUUUGUUCCCCCAGCAGGGCUAACAAUCUUCCUGCCUAUGACAGAAUACAUUUUAUAACAGUGUGCCUGGUUCUUAGGCCUUUGCUGCUUAGCUCAUUUUCCUAAAGGUAAACCUGGUCAAACAGCAGAUGUAUUCUGAUGGAGAAGUCUCUUUACCUCUCUACUGAAAAUGCACUUGACCCCCUCAUAUUAGUUAGCUUUCUUGUUGCCGUCACAGAACACUCGAGAAAACAACCCACGAAGAGUUUAUUUUGGCUCACUGUUUGAGGGUAAAAUCCAUCAUGGUGGAGAAGGCGUAUUGGCAAGAGCAGUUCUUGGCUGUGGCCUUAGGAGCAGCAGGAAGCUGGGCACAUUGCAUCCAUAGGCAGGGGAUAGAGAUGACUGCUGGGGUUCAUGUCACUUUCUCUUUUUAAAUAAAGUCCAGAAAAUAGUAUCAUCCACAUUCAGGAUGGGCAGUUACACUUCAGUUAAACCUCUCUGGAAACACCUUCCCAGACAUAUCCAGAUAUUGGUCUCCUAGGUAAUUCUAAAUCUAGUGCGUUGACAGUGACGAUUCAUCAUCUCAUAUCCACAUUGUCUGUAAGAAUAUUAAAUGUUAAAAUUUACCAUUAUUAAUUUUUUGUGUAGGGCCUUGGUGAUGGCAGGUAAGCAUUUUAUCAAUGAGCUACCCAUCUAAUCCCUAAUUCCAAAGUAUUUGUUUUCUCCUUUGAGACAGUGUUUCACUACAUAGCCCUGGACAGGUUUGCACCUACUCUGUAGCCUCGGCUGGCCUCAAACUUGCUCUGUGGCUGUGGAUGAACUCAAGCUCUUGAUUUUCCUGCUACCACCUCCAGGUGCUGGGAUUGUAAAGGCCUGGCCUAUUAUAUCUGGUUUAUGUGGCGCUGAGGAUCCAAUUUAGGCUGUUGUUCACUGUAGUUAAGCACUCUGCCAUAUCCCCAGCCCCUUCAUGUAUUUUCCAAGUCAGGAAACUUUGCUUAUUCUUCAAGAUCCAUGGUACGUGAAUUUGUUCACAUCUGGGAAGCUCGCCGUGCCACACUUCCAGCACCGUCGGUUUCUUUGAUGUGCUAGAAAGAACCAAGGGCUUUUCUCUUCUUUCUUACUGAGUUUAUGAAAUAUCUUUACUUAUUUAUUAGCAUACCUUAAGUACAUAAAGCAAUGUGCUUGAUGGCGACAUUUUCUUAUGUGUAUAUAGUAUGCUCGAUUAUAUUUACCCGCCUCAUACUAGUGGAUUCAAACAAGGGUUAGGGAGAUUCAUGAAAGUCAGUAACAGUUGUAGAAACUUUAGCUGGAAGAAGUCAGCAGGUGGGUGGUAGGGAAUAUAAUGGCUUUGUCAGAGUCAAUAUGGAUAUUAGUUCCUCCGGCAUGUAUGAGAAUUUACUGGUAGCAAAAGAUUAUUAGAAAUAAAACACUGAUAAACAAUAAGGAGGAUUGUGCAAUUUUGGGUUUGGCCUUCUUUUGAAAUAAUAGACCAUAGAGUUUGGAUACCAGCCCAGUGAGGCCACUGGCAACAAUCACUAGUGCAGAUUCAGGAUUUUUAAAUUUCUGGAACUUCACGCUAUAUUCUGGGAGACUGCUGCCAAGGUGGGGCUGGCCACAGAGGCUUGCCUUUUUGGCCAUAAAAUGACUGGCUUUCGAAACACAUCCUUAAAGGAAUUGGUUUAUUCACUGAAUCUCUCAAUUUCAGGAAGGGGUUAACAUUGGCUUUGGUUAGCAAUGGUUUUGGAUUGUGUCAUCAAUAUUUGUGCCCUGAAAAAUCACUAAACCCGAUUUUCCAUAGCGCCAUCCCCUUUAAGCCUCGAUGCAGAUGCUGGACAUUGUCAUAGACACUGCAUUUUGUAGUUAACUCCUUGGAAGUAGGGUCUAUAUUUUAACUGAUUUACCUUCAGGUUGACAAGUAGCAGAAACAGAGACCUCAUUGUUUCUAAUCUUACAACAGAGUUCAUCCUGGGAUUUUUACAGAGAAUUACAGGCAGGCAUUAAAAAUAGUAAAUGAAUUUAAUAAGCAAGCCUUUCUCCACUCCACCCUCUUGACUCCUGGGAUGAAGCCGAUGAACAUCUACACAUGUUCUUUUAUUGGUAUCUGCAGAGGGGACAGUAUUACACUUUCCCAACCUUUUCUUAUGCUUCCCGACUCAGUUUUCCUUGGAUUUCAAAUGUGAGCAACAGAGUCUAGUGGAAUUUACUGUUUGCAGAUUUUUAAAUGAAUAGUUAUUAAGGAACAUCUGGUUGCAGUUGUAAAAAUUCUCCCUCUCUGAGUGUGUGUGUGGGGAGGGUGGGGAAGAGAGAGAGAGAGAGAGAGAGAGAGAGAGAGAGAGAGAGAGAGAGAGAGAGAGAUUCUUAAGUAGUAAGGUUCCAUGGCAGAUUAAGAUCAAGGUCUUAGUCGCAAUGUGCAGAGUUCUAGAAGAGAUUUUCUCUUUCCUUUCUUGCUUCUUUCCCUCCCUCCCUCCCUCCCUCCCUCCCUCCCUCCCUCCCUCCCUUCCUUUCUUUUUUUUUUUUUUGAGACAGGGUUUCUCUGUGUAUCCUUGGCUGUUCUGGAACUUGCUCUGUAGACCAGGCUGGCCUCGAACUCAGAGAUCCACCUCUCUGCCUCGGCAAUGCUGAGACGAAAGCGGUGUGCCACCAUACCUUGCUAAGUGAUUUUCUCAAUCAGAAAUUUUUAGGGAAGAAGUACAUAAUUCCUUUCUUUUUCCUUUAUUAUCUUCUCUUCAUUUGCAAUGCAAAUUAUCUCUCUUUCUUCCCCUCCGCCAAGGUCUUCCCCUUUGGUUGGAGCUAUUUUUGAAUGCAUUUCUCCUGUCUGUUCCACUUCCUAAGUGCUGGGACUACAAGUAUGUCCCACAGUGCCUGGCUCUAAUGCUGCUUAUUUCUUUUUAAAUGUAGGACUUUGUAUAUCCUCUACCACUGAGCCACACCUCUAGCGCUCAUGUUUAGAUUUAAUAAGACAAAGCAUAACGGUGCUUUUGUUUAUUAGCCUAAGAUAAAAAUUUGUAGGGCUUAAUGAGAUCUUAAUGAUUUCAUUCAGUUUUUUUCUCCAGAGAGAGCAAAAGUAAUAUGAUCUUGGCAUUAGACAGAGGGAGAUAUGUCCUCCUUGUGAUUGUUCUGAACAUUGCUAUUUAUCCUGUGUUCCUAGAUGUUUUUAUCUACACUGUAAUCAGCACCAGGAGUUGUCUACACAUGGGCAAGGAGCAGUAAUGCAUUGAGUUUGAGAAAUUCUGAUCUCGUUUGAACCUCUCAAAUUUCAGAAUAAAAAUUGCAGACUUAGAGGGGCCCACUCAGAAUUACACAGCUUGAGUUUAACUUUAGUGCCAGUUAUUGAAAUAUAUUUUGAGGGGCCCAUUGAAAUGUUGAAGUCCAAUGCAGUAGUCAAGAUUUCUGUGAUCUUUACUAAUGGGAAGGAGUUGGCUAGGCAUAAAAAUGGCCAAAUGGUAGAAUGCGGAAUUUAAGUAAAGUAUAAUAUACUUCCUUUUUUGUUGACUUUAAAUUUCAUUAAGUCGUGGUAGGAUAGGAUACAUGGGAUUAUUUCAGUUCUUCUGCAUUUGUUAAGUUUGUUUUAUAUCCCAGCACAUGAUCUAUUUUAGAUAAGCUUCUCUAUGCUGUUGAAUAGACUAUGUGGUUAAAGAAAACCUUUUUAUUGGUUCUUUGUGAAUUUUAAAUCAUGUACCCCAAUACCACUCAUCACCCUGUCCCUUUGUACCUAUUCUCCACCCUUACAACCUGAAUAAUAUACUCUUAAUUUUAUUAAUUCAGGAAAUUUACUACAUAUACUGACAGUGUGGGGAAAAUGGUUCAAUUUUUAGGCUGCCUUAAAUUUUAUUUGAUACUUUUGUUUUCAAACAAUGUCUGAACUUAGCCUAACUCACUAGACAACUGAUACAGUACUUUAGCUUACAGUAAAUCUUCGGCCUUAAUUGCCAGAUUACUGGUACUAUAGGAAUCCAUUAUUUAGAAAGACUAUAUAAAAAGGGAUGGUGAUAGGUUUGAAAUUACUUAUGGAGCUAAGAUCUCAUUCUCAACCUGUGGGUCUCAACCUCUUUGGGUUUCAAAUGACCCUUUCACAGAGAUCCCAUGUCAGAUAUCCUGAAUAUCAGAUGUUUACAUUAUGAUUCAUAAUAGUAGCAAAAUUACAGUUAUGAAGUAGCAAUGGAAUAAUGUUAUGGUUGGGGGUCACCACAACAUGAGGAACUGUAUUAACGGGUCACAGCACUAGGAAGGUUGAGAAGCACUGAUGUAGAGGGUGGUGUUACAGUAAGCUGAAAUGCAAUGAAAUCUUCACAACCCAUUUUUUUUCUAACUGCCCCAGAGAAUGUUCACUAGGAGUAAAGUAAAUCACCUCCUUUUAAAAUUUUUCAUUGUUACUCUUCCCAAUAGUUGCAGAUUGCCAUAGACAUUUUGCCUCAGUUAGGGUUGGUCCGUGUGGGUGGUGCCUGGCAGAUUUGUCCCUAGGGAAAUCAUUCUGAACCUAGGCCCUGCAAGGCUGAGGGAAAGGAGUAAACAGGGAACUUUGUGCCACUGGGCCUCUGCCUGAGAUCAGCAAAUGUGAUUAGCUCUCUCACGGAUGAGAAAAAGCUUGAGAGAACGAGUUGGAGCAUUCUCUCUCUCUCUCUCUCUCUCUCUCUCUCUCUCUCUCUCUCUCUCUCUCUCUCUCUCACUCUCCUUCCCUCCCUCCCUCUCCCCUCCCCUCCCCUCUUUCUCAGGAUCCCUGGGGAUUUGCUUUCUUUAGGACAGCUUGUUUUUUUUUUUUUCCGUUAUUUGUCUUGUUUUUCACGUUGAGUUUCCCUUAGAGGAUUCUCUUCCAGCACUGCCUGUUGAAUUCCUUUUUGAUUGUGCCAGCACGUGUUUUGAGCAGACCUAGGCAUGGUGUGCUGGGUUUGAAAUGAGAGGUAAUCAGCUUUUCUCUCCCUUCACCCCUAGUCCCACGUAAUAUCAUUUUUAACACAAGCCCCAGGGUUAGCAAGAUGACGCUUACCCCCCUCCAGGGUGGUGCAAAUGCUGCAAUAUCUUGCUUAUCCCAAAAAUAAAAGUGAACUUUGUGGAGUCUAUAAACUAUGGGAAAAUAUUAUGUAUAAUUUACCUUUGUGGAAAGACUUACAUUUUUCUUUUUUCUUUUCAUUUUCUUUCUUACUUUUUUAUUUCUUCAUUCUAUUCUAACUUGCUUGUAGAUAUUCCUUAAUUUUUAGUUAGGGUAAAGAGAAAUGGGUUCACUGACAUUUUCUUACACACAUUGUUGCAUUGUUCACAUGGUUUCCUUCAUCCUCCCAUCAUCCCUCCCUCGGAAUUCCUCCCCUCCCCCGCUUAUGCUUUUCCUGACUUACACAUAUAGACAUAUGCAUGCUAUAUAUUGUCUUUCUUUCCCCCAUUGCUGUUUCUUAUUCUUCCUUCCCCUUAGCUCUCUCCCUCUCCCCGCCAAGAGGAAGAAUAAAAGUGGGUGUCUACUGCCUUCAAGAAUCUUUUCUGUCUUGGUUUAAAAUAUUUUCCUGAUGACUUAGCUUGAUAUUUUAGUCAUGCAUCCUAUUAGUAUGUCUUCUAAGAGUUUGUUUCACAGCUCCUAAUAACUCACAGUGUGCUUACUCCAGAUUAGAAAAGCAAAACAAAACAGCACCUCCCAUCAACGCUGGAUGUUUGGAUCCUGGUGCUUUUAUUCAAUAUUUUUUGCAGACGUUUGCAGACUUUUGCUCUUGGCAAUCGCUCAGCUGUUCUCAAUCUCUCUAAUUUUGGCUUCUCUAAAAUGUUCUAUAAAUGCAAUCAUGCAAUAUGUGACCUUUUGAGAUAAUUUUUCCCACUCAGCAUAAUUCCCUUAUGACCCAUGUAAAUAUGUCAAGAGUUCAUUCCUUUUUAUUGCUUAAUAAUAGUCCCUCGAGUGUUUGUGCCCGUUUGUUUACCCGUACCCCAGUUGAAGGAUAUUUAGAUUAAUUAAAGGUUUGGCUUUUUUUGUAAUUACAAAUGCAGCUGUCAUCUUGCGACUGGAGUCUCAGCUAAUACACAUGUGUUUAAUUUAACUAGAAACUACCAAACUUUUGUCCAAAGUGUAAUAGUCAUAUGUUCCUCUUAGUGGUGCAUAAGAGUUAAAAUUUUUCUGUGUCUCUGCACAUUGGCACUGUACGCUAUUUCAGUCAUGCUAGUUAGUGUUUAGUGAGUGGAGUAGUAGCUAAGCCUUAGUUUGAUGCAUUGGGGUAGUUUCUAUCUGUAUAUUUGAUAAAGUAUUUUGCCCAUUCUAUAGUUGAGUUGUUUUAUUACUUUAGAGUUUAGUGAAUGCUUUAUGUAUCCCGAAUACAUAUGAGUCAAACAUAUGACUUGGCAGUAUUUCAUAACAGCUUAUCUUUCAAAAAAAAAUUCUUUCAAUGGGAUAUUUCACAGAGAAAAAACACUUGCAAUUUUUUUGUUUUACUUUAUUUGUUAUCAGUGCUUUGCCUGCAUAUAUGUAUAUACAUCAUGUAUGGUGCCCAUGGAGGUCAGAAAAGGAAGUCAGAGCUCUUGGAAACGGAGUUACAGACCAUUGUAAGCCACCAUGUUGGGCUAGGAACCAAACCUGGGUGCAAAGUAAGAGCAGGCCAUGCUCUUAACUUUGGAACCCUCUCUCUGUCUCUGUCUCUCUGUCUCUGUCUCUGUCUCUCUCCCUCUUAUUGGAUAUUUUCUUUACUUACAUUUCAAAUGUUAUCACCUUUCCCGAUUUCCCCUCUGGAAUCCUCCUAACCCUCCCCCCCUCUCCCUGCCUCUAUGAGAGUGUUCCCCACCAACCCACCUACUCCCUCCCAUCCACCCACUCUGUCCCAUCUCCCUGCCCUGGCAUUCCCCUACACUGCUGUAUUGAGCCUUCACAGGGCCAAAGGCCUCUCCUCUCUUUGAUGCCCGAUAAGGCCAUCAUCUGCUAAAUAAGUGCUGGCCAUGAAGGCCAUCCUCUGCUAAAUAAGUGCUGGCCAUGGGUCCCUCCAUGUGUACUCUUUGGUUGGUGGUUUAGUCCCUGGGAGCUUGGGGUGGGGGUGGGGGAUCUGGUUGGUUGAUAUUGCUGUUCUUCCUAUGGGGUUGCAAAUCCCUUCAGCUCCUUCAGUCCUUUUUCUAACUCCUCCAUUGGGAACCCCGUUUUCAGUCCAAUGGUUGGUUGAGAGCAUCUGACUCUGUAAUUCUCAGUCUCUGGCAGAGCCUCUCAGGAGACAGUUAUAUCAGGCUCCUGUUAGCAUGUACUUUUUGAUAUCCACAAUAGUGUCUGGGUUUGGUGACUGUAUAUGGGAUGGAUCUCCAUGUGUUGCAGUCUCUGGAUGGCCUUUCCAUCAGUCUCUGCUACACAUUUUAUCUCCGAAUUUCCUUCUGUGAAUAUUUUGUUCUUCCUUCUAAGAAGAAAUGUAACAUUCAUUCUUUGGUCUUCCAACUUCUUGAGCUUCAUGUAGUCUGUGGAUUGUAUCUUGGGUAUUCCAAGCUUUUGGACUGAUGUCCACUUAUCAAUGAGUGCAUACCAUGUGUGUUCUUUUAUGACUGGGUUACCUCACUCAGGAUGAUAUUUUCCAGUUCCAACCAUUUGCCUAUGAAUUUCAUAAAGUCAUUGGUUUUGAUAGCUGAGUAAUAUUCCAUUGUGUAGAUGUACCAUAUUUUCUGUAUCCAUUCCUCUGUUGAGGGACAUCUGGGUUCUUUCCAUCUUCUGGCUAUAAUAAAUAAGGCUGCUAUGAACAUAGUGGAGCAUGUGUCCUUGUUAUAUAUUGGAGCAUCUUUUGGGUAUAUGCCCAGGAGAGGUAUAGCUGGGUCCUCAGGUAGUGGAAUGUCCAAUUUUCUGAGGAACCUCCAGACUGAUUUCCAGAAUGGUUGUACCAGCUUGCAAUCCCACCAACAAUGGAGGAGUGUUCCUCCUUCUCCACAUCUUCACCAGCAUCUGUUGUCUCCUGUGUUUUUGAUCUUAGCCAUUCUGACUGGUGUGAGGUAGCAUCUCAGGGUUGUUUUGAUUUGCAUUUCCCUGAUGACUAAGGAUGUUGAACAUUUCUUUAGGUGCUUCUCAGCCAUUUGGCAUUCGUCAGUUGAGAAUUCUUUGUUCAGCUCUGUCCCUCAUUUUUUAAUAAGGUUAUUUGAUUCUCUGGAGUCUAACUUCUUGAGUUCUUUGUAUAUAUUGGAUAUUAGUCUUCUAUCGGAUAUAGAAAUGGUAAAGAUCUUUCACCAAUCUUUUGGUUGCCAUUUUGUCCUAAUGACAAUGUCCUUUGCCUUACAGAAACUUUGCAAUUUUAUGAGGUUCCAUUUGUCCAUUCUUGAUCUUAGAGCAUAAGCCAUUGGUGUUCUGGUCAGGAAAAUUUCCCCUGUACCUAUGUGUUUGAGGCUCUUCCCCAAUUUCUUUUCUGUUAGUUUCACUGUAUCUGUUUUUAUGUGGAGGUCCUAGAUCCACUUGGACUUGAGCAUUAUACAAGGUGAUAAGAAUCAAUCGAUUUGCAUUCUUCUACAUGCUGACUGCCAGUUUAACCACCACUAUUUGUUGAAAAUGCUGUCUUUAUUCCACUGAAUGGUUUUAGUUCCUUUGUCAAAGAUCAAGUGAACAUAGGUAUGUGGGUUCAUUUCUGGGUCUUCAAUUCUAUUCCACUAGUCUAUCUGCCUGUCUCUGUACCAAUACCAUACAGUUUUUAUGACUAUUGCUCUGUAAUACUGCUUGAGUUCAGGGAUGGUGAUUCCCCCAGCAGUUCUUUUAUUUUUGAGAAUAGUUUUCACUUUCGUGGGUUUUUUUUUUGUUGUUGUUGUUAUUCCAAAUGAAUUAGCAAAUUGCUCUUUCCAACUGUAUGAAAAAUUGAGUUGGAAUUUUGAUGGGAUUGCAUUGAAUUUGUAGAUUGCUUUUGGCAAAAUGACCAUUUUUACUAUAUUAAUCCUGCCAAUCCUUGAGCAUGGGCGAUCUUUCCAUCUUCUGAGGUCUUCUUUGAUUUCUUUCUUCAGAGACUUGAAGUUCUUAUCAUACAGAUCUUUCACUUGCUUCGUUGAAGUCACACCAAGGUAUUUUACGUUAUUUGUGACUCUUGUGAAGGGUGUCAUUUCCCUAAUUUCUUUCUCAGCCUGUUUAUCCUUUGAGUAGAGGAAGGCUACUGCUUUGUUUGAGUUAAUUUUAUUCCCAGACACUUUGUUGAAGUUGUUUAUCAGGCUUAGUAGUUCUCAGGUGGAACUUUUGGGGUCACUUAAGUAUACUAUCAUAUCAUCUGCAAAUAGUGAUAUUUUGACUUCUUCCUUUCCAAUUUGUAUCCCUUUGACCUCCUUUAGAUUUCUGAUUGCUCUGGCUAGGAUUUUGAGUACUAUAUUGAAUAAGUAGGGAGAGAAUGGGCAGCCUUGUCUAUUUUCUGAUUUUAGUAGAAUUGUUUGAAGGUUCUCUCCCUUAAGUUUGAUGUUGGCUACUGGUUUGCUGUAUGUUGCUUUUAUUAUGUUUAGUUAGGGCCUUGAAUUCCUGAUCUUUCCAAGACUUUUAACAGGAAGGGGUGUUGAAUUUUGUCAAAUGCUUUCUCAGCAUCUAAUGAUAUGACCAUGUGUUUUUUUUCUUUGAGUUUGUUUAUUUAGUGGAUUACAUUGAUGGAUUUCUGUAUAGUGAACCAUCCCUGUGUCCCUGGGAUGCAGCCUACUUACUUGAUCAUGGUGAAUGAUCAUCUUGAUGUGUUCUUGGAUUCGGUUUGCAAGAAUUUUAUUGAGUAUUUUUGCAUGGAUGUUCAUAAGGGAAAUUGGUCUGAAGUGUUUUCUUUCUUUGUUGGGUCUUUGUGUGGUUUAGGUAUAAGCAUAAUUGUGGCUUCGUAGAAUGAAUUGGGUAAUGGAACCAUCUCUUUUGCUCCAGAUUUGCAGCUUUGAUGAACGCAGUUUGUUUUUCUUCCCAUUAUUGGAUUGUGUUUCUGAAGCUGUGUCUAAGGAUACUUCACCCAGCUGUAGGUCACAGCGACAGAUGCUAUCUCUAAGUUCCUAUGCUCAUGUUCAGUUCCAGGACCUCACACAUGCAUGCCAAGGAAGCGCCAACUUUCGUCUAGAAUUUUAUAGAUUUAGAUUUUUCAUUUAAAAUUGCUAUUUAUGUUGAGUUGACUAAUUUGCCAACACUGAGAUUUAAAUGGGAGGAUUUUUUUUAGUCACUUAAACCUUCAUUGACCUCACUUUUAUCCUCUCUGUGAUGGGGAUAAGCCGGACUGAGCAGUAUAUCUGUGGUCUCAGCUCCUCAAAAUCCUAAGUCAAAAGAAGGCCAAGAGUUUGAGGCCAGUUUGAGCUAUAGUUGGAAACCUUGUCUCAAUAAACACCAAAAUGAAAUGAUGGCAGGAUCUGCCUCUUUAGGUUGGGGUGAGAAUUCCCCACUUAGCUCUUAGUAGUCAUUGUGUUUUACAGUUCAAAGUUUGAGGUUUGACUUUGUAAUUUGUAAAGCUUGGUAAGAUAUACUAUGUUGUCCUUUUUCACCCCUUCCAAAGUCUUUGGGACAUAUAGGCCAGUGCUGAGGUCGGAGCCUGGCAGUUGGAGUCCACUUAUCAGCAGGAAGAGAUAGCAGUUUCUAGUUAGUGUAACUGAGCCCACAGAGAAGUCAAUCCAAGGCAAGAAUGUGUUGUCCAAAGCAAAAUGGAAAAGGAAGUCAGAUGUCAUUGAACAAAGGAAUAAAAGCAACAUAGUUCAGGACUGUGACUGAGGAGAAACUGGGUGUCAAGCCCCCUUUUAUUGACUGCUACUGUGUGUAAAGUGAUUGGCUGGGCAAUUUUCCUUCAAAAUCCCUUUCAUAGCUAUGAUUAGUGUUUGAAGCGCCUACCUUUUGUUCUCCUAAGGGAGUCAGGCUAAGAUGUGUUUUUGCUGUAUGUGCCUUCCUGACAGCAGCCUGGCAAUGUGCAGGACACCCCUGUUGGGAAGCUUUCUAAUACUUCCUUCUGAGCAGGGUGAAAAGGCUGAAGAGCCCUGUCCGGAAGCUGAGUGUGUCUGUGGUAGGUCUUGUCUGGGAGCCAUUUCAAAGGCUGGAUGCCACAGCCACUGUUUUGAUCCUCACCAUGCUUUCUGGCACUUUGUGCGAAGUAGGCUCCCUGGAAACUCUUCUUGCUUCCUCAGAGCAAGAACUGGCAGCCGCAAUGUUGUUUUCCUUUUCUCUUUGUCCAGUGUUUUGCCAGCUUACCUGAAUAAAUCUUUUGUGUCCACGUGUUCAUAAUACAGUGUAAGGACUCGCUGUUAACUGGAAGCCAUAAGCUGUUUAAGCAAAACUCUUUGUUUAACAAGUGAAAUGUUUUUACCCAUAUGGACUGACAUUACCAGAAACUGUUCCUGUAAGUAAAAAGAUCCUUCAGCUAAGAGGCACAACAAAACCAAAGCAUUUUACUGGGUAGGACUGAGGAAAUAAAACAAUGUGGUGUUUAUAUGUGAACGUCCAAGAAAAUAAUGACACGUGACUUCAACAUGUUGCAUAUUAGAAAGGUCUGUCAUCUUUCGUUAUUUGAUCUGAGAACAAGAAUGAGAGCAUUAGGACAGGAAUUAUUUAUUACCCAUGCUAUAUAUAAGCUAUCAGGUAGAGCUUGACGGUGCUGUGAUGCCGUACAUCGUGGUUGAUAGGACUGACUGUAAAGAGACUGAGUAUAUCUGAAAUUGUGGGGUUAAAUGUAUAUGAUGUGAAUUUGGGAUUUUCUCAAUGUGUAAGGAUGCCACUCACAACAUUAUUUGCAUCUAGACUAUAAAAUCAUCACUACUGUUUCUGAAAUGUUUUCAUUAUCCCCAAGGGAAACUAUAAAUUAUUAAAUAAUUCCCCAUCCCCUUUCCUUGCAGAUUCUGGUAACCUCAAAUCUAUAAACCUGUUUGUGUGACUGUUAAUCCUAGAUAGCUAAUAAAGUUAAAGUAAUAUUUUCUACAGCUGUCCAUGUUGUAAUAUGUAUGUAAAAGGCCAUUCCAUGUUUUUCUUUUGUCUCUUCCCCUUCCUUCCCCUGCACCCUUUUUAUAGUCCUGUCUUCCCUAAAACUCUGUGUAUACCAAAUCUAUGUUAAAGACACAUAAAUCCUGGGUCUGCCUCCUGAAUGUUGGGAUUAAAGGUGUGCACUACUAUGCUCUGCCUUUCCUUUUUCAAAAAUACUUGGUCAAGUGGAAACUUCUAGUUCUUUGAAAAGUCAGUUAUGCCAAAUGAUGUUUUGCUGGGGCACCCAGGUGAAAGGUUGUCUUGCUAAAGCAAAUACGUGAAAGAAUGUUUUCCUGAAGCAGACACAGGUGAAGGGAUGUUUGGAAGUAGUAGACAUGUGAAAGGAUGCUUGAUGACGGAGUAUAAAUAAAUAUGACCCCACAGACAGUGGAGACAAACUCUGAGCUCUAGGUUUGUUCCAUCUCCCUAUUCUUCUCUAAUGACACACAUGUAUUUGCCUUAUAUAAUGUUGUUGAGCUCAACUUGUGGAAACACUGCCAUCGAGAGAAACUCACCAAAGAAGUACUUGUGAUGUUCUGUGGCAGCUUGCUGCUUCUGCAGCCCAGCCUUAGGCUGGUUGGUGAGCCUGGUGGUUUCUUCAGGAUUGAACUACAGUAUAGCUGCCUGGUGUCUGCUUGCUGAAAGGACUGGACUGUAACUGCCAGUUCAUGCCAGGUGUCUGCCUUCCCAGAGGACUGUUCUGCUGCUGCUGAAUCGUAUUUGGUGUUUGCUACAGGACUGAACUGCUGCCCAAAAAGAUCAAGCUCAUCCCCCAAAGAACUAUUGCUGAACAGGUCCGCUUCCCUCAUAUCCUAAUAACUUUUUCUCCUCCACUACCUCGGCUGGAUGGUGGGCUAGAGGAGAGGUUGAACCCUUAUUAAAGUAGGUUGCAAAAAAAUUAUGCCUACAUAAAAAGAGGUUGAAGUUUACGUCUUUAUGCAUGCUAGGCAAGUGCUCUUUGCACUUUCUCUUUUCUCCUUUUCCCCUCCCCUCUUUUUCUCCUCUCUUCUUACAUUUUUACUGUGCUAAAUUUCAUUUUUUAUUAAAGUUAAAUUUUUUCACAUUAUGCCUACUCUAUUCACAUCAUUUUUUCCUCUCCCUCUGUUCCAAGUUCUCCCACACCAUGCCCCAAUGUUUCCCCUCAAAUUCAUGCAUGCACGCGCGCGCGCACACACACAGGAAUGUACAAAUACAGCUUUUUUUUCCUGUUUAUUUUUUCUUUUUUUAUUAGAUAUUUUCUUUAUUUAUAUUUUGAAUGGUUUCCUUUCCCUGGUUUCCCCUCUGGAAACCCACUAUCCCAUCCCCCAUCCCUUCUGUAAGGGUGCUCCCCUACCUACCCACCCACUCCCUCUGGCCUCCCCAUCAUGGCAUUCCCCUACACUGGGGUAUCAAGUCUUCACAGGACCAAGGGCCUCCCCUCUGAUUGAUGCCCAACAAGGCCAUCCUCUGUUACAGAUGCUGCUGGAGCCAUGGGUCACUCUAUGUGUACUCUUUUUUUUGGUUCUUUUUUUUUUUUUUCGGAGCUGGGGAUCGAACCCAGGGCCUUGCGCUUCCUAGGUAAGCGCUCUACCACUGAGCUAAAUCCCCAGCCAAAAGUUCUAUGUUGUUUUUGUCUUCACAAAACAUCUCUCUUACAAAUUAUCAUGUUUAAAAACAAGUUUUUUUUUUUUUUGGUUCUUUUUUUCGGAGCUGGGGACCGAACCCAGGGCCUUGCGCUUCCUAGGCAAGCGCUCUACCACUGAGCUAAAUCCCCAACCCUCUAUGUGUACUCUUGUGAUGGUGGUUUUGUCCCUGGAAGCUCUGGGACAUCUGGUCGGUUGAUGUAGUUUUUUCCUAUGAGGUUGCAACCCCCUGCAACUCCUUUCAUCCUUUUAACUCCUUCAUUGGGGACCCUGUACUCAGUCCAAUGGUUGGCUGCAAGCAUCCUCAUCUGUAUUUUUCAGGCUCUGGCAGAGCCUCUCAGGAGACAUUCAUAUCAGGCUCCUGUCAGCAUGCACUUCUUGGCAUCUGCAAUAGUGUCUGGGUUUGGUGGCUGUAUGUUAGAUGGAUCACCAGGUGGGGCAUUUUCUGAAUGGCCUUUCCUUCAGUCUCUGCUCUAUUCUUUGUCCCUGUAUUUCCCCUCAUGAGUAUUUUGUUCCCCCUUCUAAGAAGGACUGAAGCAUCCACACUUUGGUCGUCCUUCUUCUUGAUCUUCAUGUGGUCUAUAGAUUGUGUCUUGGGUAUUCCGAGCUUUUGGGCUCAUGCCCACUUAUCAGUGAGUGCAUACCGUGUGUGUUCUUUUGUGACUUUGUUAUAUCACUCAGGAUGAUAUUUUCUAGUUCCAUCAUUUGCCUAUGAAUAUCAUAAAGUCAUUGUUUUUGAUAGCUGAGUAAUAUUCCAUUGUGUAGAUGUACCACAUUCUCUGUAUCCAUUCCUCUGUUGAAGGGCAUCUGGGUUCUUUCCAGCUUCUGGCUAUUAUAAAUAAGGCUGCGAUGAACAUAAUGGAGCACGUGUCUCUUUUAUAUGUUGAGGCAUCUUUUGGGUAUAUGCCCAAGAGAGGUAUAGCUGGAUUCUCAGGCAGUUCAAUGUCCAAUUUUCUGAGGAUCCUCCAGACUGAUUUCCAGAAUGGUUGUACCAGUUUGCAAUCCCACCAACAAUGGAGGACUGUUCCUCCUCCUCCACAUCCUUGCCAGCAUCUGUUGUCUCCUGUAUUUUUGAUCUUAGCCAUUCUGACUGGUGUCAGAACAUCUCAGGGUUGUUUUGAUUUGCAUUUCUCUGAUGACUAAGGAUGUUGAGCAUUUCUUUAGGUGCUUCUUGGCCAUUUGAUAUUCCUUAGUUGAGAGUCCUUUGUUUAGCUCUGUUCCCCAUUUUUAAUAGGGUUAUUUGAUCUUCUGGAGUCUUAACUUCUUAUGAAAGUUUUGAACCCAUUUAGUGUGUAUGUCUUUAGGGCUGACCAUGCCAUAGAUUGAGUAUAUCUGUUCAUAUAUAUGGUUGAUGCCGCAUGGGAUUUCCCCCACCCAUGUUUACAUGUCAACUUGAUAUCGUCAUCAUUCAAGUCUUGUUUUGACAGUCAUAUUGUUGAAUUUUCCUGGGUGAAACCUCCCUGAUUUAUAUAGAGGACACAAUCUCAUUGCUGACAUCUAGGUUGUCAGGCCUGCAGAAUCUUUCUACCUUCUCGUCCAUAAUGUUCCCUGAGCUUUUUGUGUAGAUGUGCUGGCUCAGGGCACCGCACAGUCACUUGCUCUCUGCAUUUUGACCAGUUGUGUGGCUUUCUAUAAUUUUCUCUAUCUGUUACAAAAAGGAGUUUCUUUGAGGGGUGAGAGCUACAGGUAUCUCUGUGUAUAAGGAUUAGUAUUUACAAUGCAGCUAGGUAUUUUCUGGUUUAGCAAAAUGGCAGUAGUUUAGGCUUUCCUCUAAGAUUUAUGCCAUCACCAGUCACGGCUAAGUUGGCUAGGUUUGAAGUACCAGUUAGGAUUUUUCCCUCUGUUGAGUGAGCCUUAUUGUCAAGUAGACAGCUGGGGGUAAUUGCCAACAUAUGAGGGCCACUAUUGCACCUUUAGGGCUAUCUUGCCAUACUGGUCAUUGUGAUUCACACACUUUACUACUAGGUAGGACUGUUAAUUGCUUCUCUCUAUUGACAGCUUGCAUAGCACCUUCUGGCACUAUGAAAGCUAGCCCUCCUAGAGGAAGCUUUCAGGUCAGAUCCUGUUUGCUCAGAGUCCUUUGUCUGAAGAGCAUGGUGUCUUCCAUAAUAGAGACCUACCUUCAAAUUCUGGAAGGGCAUUGGCACUACCUCAUAUUAAUUUGAGAGUUUCUGACUAAAAACUUGAAAAGAUGUUUUUCAUGCCUGGUUCUGACAUUUUUGUUAGAAGGUCUAUGGCUCUAAUGAAAACAUUAUCACCCUAUUUGGCAUAAUUUCAUUUAUGUGUAAUUAUAUGUAAUUUUAGAUAAACUAUAAAAUAAGAUUCCCUUUAGCUUUUCAAAUGUACUUAGUUUUCUUAUCCUUCUUCCCUUUCUCUCCCUCUGUAUUGUCCUUCCUCUCUUUUUUCCAGUUAAAGCCCUCCUCCUAUUCCCCUCAUUAUAUCCUCUGUGUUCUGUUAUUCCUGUUUCAAGAGCUGGUACCUCACUGUAUAGCUCUGGAAAUUGCUAUGUGGACCAGGCUGGCCUCAAAAUGGCAGAGAAGAUUCACAUGCUUGUUCCUCCUGAAUGCUGGUCUUAGAGAUAUAUACCAGUAGACCUGGCCUUUAUGUUCCUUUUGUUUGACAGAGACUUACUAUAGAUAUAAUAUAUAUAUAUAUAUAUAACACAUAUAUAUUUACUAUAUAUAUAUAUAUAUAUAUAUAUAUAUAUAUAUAUAUAUGUUGGCCCAGAACAUAUAAUACUGAAUCCAUUACCCUGUGAGUGUCAGCAUUAGACAGUUGUACUCACAUGACUGCUGGAUAGAAUACAUGGGGGAGAGUUUAACUUUUUAAGUCUUAGCAAUUUAUGUAAUUCCACUCUCUUUUGGACUCUAUGGAUUCUGAUGGGGAAAUGGCUGUUAAUGAAGAAUCCUUGGAAAUAAUUUACUUCUGUCUUUCUGCUUUGCAAACUAUGUCUGACAUAAGGGUGUUCAUAUACAUGCAUGUAUGCAUAUGCAUGAUCGGUGUCUGCUUGCACAUGUAGGUGAUGUGCAAGUGUAAAGAGAGAACCCCUAGAGCUGGAGUUACAGGCAGUUGUGCUGGGAAGUGAUUUGGACUCUAUGGAAGAACAGUAAGUUCUGUUCCUCUAAAGAACCUCAACUAAUACACUCAGUAAAACCACAGACUUAGAAACCACAAUUUACAAGCAAAAAGAUCAGUAAGGUAAAAAAAAUAGCUUCAACUAAGCAAUAUGAGAUAAAACAAAAAGCUUCAAAAUUAUCUUUGACUCCGGUUUGUGUUGGUCAUUUACUGCUGGGCAUGGGGCCUGUUAUUAAGGACAGUUUGUCUACCCUGUGAGAGUGGGUAUCAGUUGCAGACAUCUUUUGGUUAGGGAUGGGGGCUGGUAUCUAUGUCCCCUCUCAGCACUGUGACCCUGUCUGGCUUGAACCUGUACAUGCGGCCACAGUGUCUGAGUUUAUAUGUGUCUGUCCUUUUGUGUCUGAAAAGACAGUUUCCUUGGUGUCCUCUCAUCCCUCUGGCUCUUACAGUCUUUCUGCUCGCUCUUCUGAACAGUUCUUGAGCCCUGAAGAGUUUCAGAAGACAUCCCAAUUAGGACUGUUCCAAGGUUUCUCACUCUGUACAUUGUCCAGUUGUGGGUCUCUGUCUUAGUUCCCAUCUACUGCAGGAGGAAGCUUCUUUGGUGAUGCCUGAGCAAGACAUUGACCUGAGUCCAGGUCAAGUGUGGCCACUGGGAAUACCAGGUAGAAAAUGUAACUUGUAAUUUUUGUUGUUAGAAACUGAACACUUGAAUAAAUAUAGUGUGAUAAUUUUGGAAAUCAUAUUUGCUUUCAUUUUAGAGUUAGCCAUUCAUUCUUUUGAUUACUAAAGUUCAAAUAGUGCUCUGGUGUAGUGAUUAUUUUUCUCACCAAGUAUAUUUGCAAAGAGUUUAUUCUUCAUCCUGUGUGGUCACCUGUCUUAGUUGGUGUUAAGUAACAGUUUGACAUAUACUCUUUCCAUUAAUGGCAGCAGAUUACAAAGAUGAUACCACCAUGACCGCUACCACCCGCCAUCAUCGACAGCAACAAACUGUUACUAGUCUUUGCAGAUGACUCUAGUCUAAACCCUUAUGCUCACGCUCUGUUUACCUCUGUUCGAUUUAACCUCUGGUUGGUUUUAUGCAGACUAGGCAUGUGUUUGAUCACUGAGUCAUCUCUCUAGUCCUCCCUUGUUUCUUUCAUUUUUGGGGACAAUAUCUUACUAUUUUUGCCCAAGAAGGGCUUAAGUUUGCUAUCCCUAAUGAAUAAACUGGGAUCCUAAGGUAUGCCACCACACUCUGCUAGUUUAGUUUUCAAAAACUAGAUUUUCUAGCCUGAGGUCAGUAUUAGGUGAAAUUGCCACAAGUGCCUGGCUUCAGUCCUUCAUGUAGCCUCUCAAAUUGGUUUGAAAAGUGGAACUAGAGCCCAGUGCGCAUGCUAGGAUACAGAAAGAACAACUUUAAAAACAUGAAAAUGCCACUUUCAGUAAGCCAAGGGUCAUAGGCCAAAGAUGUAAAAAUGACACAAAACCCUUCUACACUGAGGGUGCCUUUAAAAAAAUACAUUCUGCCUUCAGUUUUUGGUUGGUCAUUGUGAACCUUUGCCUACAUCCCAGAGCUCUGAUGAUCAUGUCCCUUUAAAACUGUUUCUGCUUUAUUUUCAUGUUUCUGUUGGGGGUGGGAACUGUCUUCUCUCUCCUUUUCUUACUGUUACCCUGACUACAGUUUAAAACCAGAAAUUUCCAUGUUUUUAUUUUGUAAGUUUAAAAGUUAGCAUGCAAAGUUACAGAUUUCAUUCUGGUGCUUUCUGCUGGUCAGUUAGCUGUAUUCUUGCCCCUCUGCCACCAUCCUCGCCUAUUAACCCCAGACUUAAUCUUGCCGGUCCCUUCCUUCCUUCCUUCCUUCUGCUUUUACUUCUUGUAUCACAUGUCACUUAGAUCAUUUGUCUUUUUAAACACUGUAAAAUAUUUAUCAUUUGUGUGUAUUGAUGUUGCCUGUAUGAAUGUCUGUGCACCGUGUGUGUGUGCCUGGUAUUUGAGGAGCCGGAGAGAGGGCGUUGGAUCCCUUGGACCUGGAAUUAUAGAGGGUUAUGAGCUGCCAUACAGGCACUAGGACAUGACCUUCAGGUUCCCUGCAGUACAGCCCAUGCUCUUAAGCAGAGUCAGCUCUCCAGCGUCUUUGACCCCUUUGUAAGUUUAGAUUGUCUAAUGUUGAAUUGUGCAUCAACUAGUUACUAGCUCUGUAGUCUUGGAGUAGCUAUUUAUUUAUUUUUUCUCUAAUGUAAACAGCAUCUGUUUUUGAGGGCAAUAGCAAGAAAUAACAAUCUUUCUACCCCAUUUAUAACAGACCAUUCCAUGAGUUAAGUAUCCAGUAAUGCAUUAUGCCGUAGUUGUAUAGACUACUACUAAAUACCACAUGCCAAGGUCUGCUAUGCAGUGUGACGUUCAUGAUAGUGUGAGGGGUCAUGAUUUUAGAAAUGUUAAAAUGUAAAAAUACUGUGGUUUCAUCAUCUAGUUUCAGGCUUUCUGUUUUGCUUUCAGAGCACCCAGCACUCAGAGUGGGCAAAUGACUUCCUUAUAGAUGUACAGGAAACUAUACUAUAAUGGAAUUUUGAAUCAAUGUCCCUGAUGUUUGUGAUAUCAGGGGCCUGGUUGUCUUUCCAGUAGAGUGGUUUGCCUUGCAAAUAUUGUCUUGCUAAGUUCUCAGAGCCGCAUGUCUUAGAUACGUGCUAGCAAUGUGCUCUCAGUAGAAAGAAAAGAAAUAUUGAGCCUGUGUGUGUGUGUGUGUGUGUGUGUGUGUGUGUGUGUGUGUGUGUGUGUACUUGUGCUAUUUUGUUUACAUUUUGCUGGUGCCGGGGACCAAACCAAGGCCUAGCACAUGCUAAGUAAAUGUUCUAACAGUGAACUAUACCCUGUCCCUUGACUCUUUUCAUUUUUACUUUUUGAAGAAAAUCUUAUUAAAAUCUGGUAGGAUGAAUUGGGUCACUCUAGGAUUCAAAGUCAGUUUGUCACUUUCUUGCCAUAAGACCUUGGGAAGUCAUUUUAAUUCUCUGAUCAGAAUAGUUUUAGAAGUAAAAAAUAGUAAUUUUUAUUCCAUCAAGCUGUUUUAGCAUAUUAAAUACUAUCCUAUCUAAAUGUAGUGAGUGACAGAUACAUGGUAGAGUUACACCAAAUACUCCUUUUAUAUUUAAAAUUUUAUUACAUUUUAAUUCUCUGUGCAGAACAGCUGUAGAAAUAUAGUAAGUGGAAAUAACUUUAUUUCAUAGAUUUUUUUACAGUAUGAAAUAUUAUCUAAGUAUAGUGAUAUGCACAUAGCAUGUGAGAGACUUGCAUCAAAUAUUACUUUUUCUACUUUAUUUUUAUUAUGUUUAUGUGUAUGUUGUGUGGUGUAUGUCAAAAGUGAACUUGCUGGAUCUCUCUUAGACCACAUGGAUUCUGGGAAUCAAACUCAGGUCACCGGGCUUAGGUCUAAGAGUCUGCCUGCCGAGUCACUUAGGCAGCCUCUUUUUUUUUUUACUUGUUUUGGGGAUGGUACAGAAAUAGGUCCACCAAUUUUCUCCUUUCUCAGCUCAAACCUUGCAUAUAAUUAUGGUGUAUAAAAUUAGAACAAUAUUGGUGUUUGGGGUGAGUUUGUAACCGAGGGAAAAGGUAGCAGCUGGCAGCUGUAAUUCUCCAGGGGGCCAUUCCUGAUGCUGACUGGAAAGCUGUUGGUGAGAAAUGAAGACAGCAAUAGCUUCAUGUCAGCAUGCAUCCUGAGAAGCUUGCUUCUUGCUGCCGUGUUCUUCAGACUGUAGCACACAUGCCCCUGCUCAUUUGAUCCACCCUUUUGCAACAUGCUAGACUCUUUAGUGCUUCUCCAAAUUAAGUUUUAUCAUUUCUCUCUGCCUGGAAUGUUUUCUUCAUUCCCAUAUCUGGAAAAUGUGGACACAGCCUUUAAAUCUCUGCUCACAUGUCACUCUCUUGUAAGGCCUUGUGGGUGACCCUUCAGCACACGGAAGUAGUCCUAUCUUUGAAAGAGCACAUUAUAAUUUAGUUUAAAUACUGUUUUCCUCUAUUAGAGAAUAUGGUCAUUUGAGGGCAGUGGUUAGUGAAGUGGGUGCAUUGAUUUAUUCUUUGUAAUAUUUUUCUGUAAUGUAAAAUCCUUGCCCAUGGAGAAGUACUGACAGCUGAACUCCAUUAUGGGAUGUAUAAUCUCACUAAUCAUCAUACUCAACAAAUUUCUGAGGUGGAGGCUAGAGAGAGGGUAGGUAAAUCAAUGUUGGGUAGUCAAGAAGCCUGGAGUAGAAAGUUCUUCUGAAUUCCUACUAUGGUAUAGACCCAGAGAACUUCUGGUAAUUGUGGAAAUGUUUCUGUGUGUUCCCAUUAGCAGAGUGAUUCUUUAGCUCUUGAAAUGGGGCUAAUAUGACUGAAGAAGUGACUUUUUAAUAUUAACGAAUUUCUGUUUAAGGAACUGCAUACAGGGGUCUGGGGAGAUGGCUCAGUGGUUGAGAGCACUGACUGCUCUUCCAGUGGUCCUGAGUUCAAUUCCCAGCAACCACAUGGUGGCUCACAACCAACUGUAAUGGGUUCUGAUGCCUUCUUUUGAUGUGUCUGAAGACAGCGACAGUGUACCCACAUUCAUAAAUAAAUCUUUUAAAACAUUAAAAAAAGGAACCGCAUAUAGAAAACCAUUCUCCCGCCCUGAAACAGAAGCCUAGGGAUUCUCUCUUGACUUUUUAAGUCAAUUGAUCUCUCAACUGGUCUUAUUCUACCACUUAACCUUUGUUACAUGAGAAACUUCAGGUAAGCUUAAUUUGGGAGUUUAUUUGAGCAAGGAAUGAUUCAUAAUCAGGCGUUGCUUAACUAGGAGAGGUUCAGAGAGCUCCACCCAGCAAUGUGGGCAGACAAUGUUUACAGAAAGAAACAAAGAAGUGACAUUACAGAAACAGCUGGUUGCUUGAGGACAUGAGGGAGGCUUUAGGUGGACUGGUCUGAUCAGUUUGCAACCUGUGACUGACUGAAGCUUAGCUGUUGUGGUUGGCUAAAACUCAACUGCCUGUUAUAAAAAUAAAACUUAGGUUACAGGUUGUUUCCAUACUAAAUUAGGUUGUGGGCUUUGAAGAGUUAAAUUUCAAAAAGUUAGUCAUAAACAAGGUCCGGACUACCUAAGGGAGACUAUAGGGCUUGCCGGACCAUUUGGAGCUGAAGAGUUAAAAUAAAAACUUCAUAAAAACUGCAAAAGAACAGCAGAUAAGGGGGCAGGACAGAGCUGGCCUGAGAUGUGCCCGGCCAAGCCUAAAAGCAAGGUCGAGGGAUUGUUCCAGGGACUGGCAGCCACCAUCUCCUCUGAGUCGGGGGCCAUCCGGACAGAUGACUCCCUGCUCUACAGAUAAAGAUAAGAGAGAUUGUUCCAGAAACUAACAGCCACCAUCUCCUCUGAGUCGGGGGCCAUCCGGACGGACGGAUGACUCCCUGCUCUACAGAUAAAGAUAAGAUGUUCUCCUAUAUUGAGAACACCCCAGCCCGCAUGUACUGCUUGCAGAUGAGACCUUGUACCCAUUUCCCUUGCUGAUAACCACGCAAAACCCCCUGGCUUCUCCUAUAUAAACCCCUGCCUGAAGAGGCUCGGGGCCGAUUCCUCUGUCUCCUGUGUGAGAUACGUGUUGACCCGGGAUCCCACUAAGACCCGGGAUCUCGUUAAUAAAGCUACCUCCUGCUGUUACAUCAAGAAUGGCUACUCGUUGGGGUUGGGGAUUUGGCUCAGUGGUAGAGCGCUUGCCUAGGAAGCGCAAGGCCCUGGGUUCGGUCCCCAGCUCCGAAAAAAAGAACCAAAAAAAAAAAAAAAAGAAUGGCUACUCGUGAUUCCUGGGGGCACCCCAUCCCACGAUUGGAGCGAGAGACACGUCCCCUGUUUAGGGGUACGCUCUUUCAGCUUACUGCUUAUGAAGGCAGAUUUAGGUAAAAAUUGAAUUUCAUGUAGUUAGAGAAUCUAAAAUUCAUCUUGAUGGAAACAGCAAAAUGAACUCUUAUCUGGGCAUGGUGAUGCAGGGCCUGUAAUCCCAGCAAUUAGGAGGCAGAAAUAGAAGGGGUAAUGUGAGUUCAAGGUCAGCCUGGACUGCACAUCGAGAACCCCCACACCCCCAAAUAAAACAAGUAAAUCUUCAACUCUUUCUUUUAAAAAUAUUAAUUUAUUUUUAUUUCAUGUUCAGGAGUGCUUUGGCUGCGUGCCAUGUAUAUGAGAGUGACACAUGUGCUAAAGAGUACACAUGGAUGGGUCCGUGGCUCCAGCUACAUAUGUGGCAGAGAUUUGCCUUAUCUGGCAUAGGUGGGAGGGGAGGCCCUUGGUCCUGUGGAUGCUCUAUGUCCCAGUAAAGGGGAUGUUAGAGCGGUGAGGCAGGAGUGUGUGGAUGAGUGGGGGAGCACCCUCUUAGAGGCAAAGGGGAGGAGGAUGGGAUGGAGGGUUUGCAGAGGGGAGACCAGGAAGGGGGACAACAUUUGAAAUGUAAAUAAAAAAAUAACCAAUAAAAAAAUCAAGGCCUCACUUAAAAAAAAAAAAGAGUGACACAUGUGUGCCUGGUGCCUGAGGAAGCCAGAGAAGGGAGUCAGAUCCCUUGGAAACUAUUUUCACACAGUCGUGAGCUGCCAUGUGUGUGCUGGAAACCUCUGGUCUUCUGAAAGCAGUAUGUCCUCCGACAGUUGAAUCACCACUCUGGGUCCCCAGAUCAACUUUUCCAAAGACAGUUUAGAUUUGAUACGGUAAUAGAUAUUAGAAAAGUUGAAUGGAAUCAGUGCCCGUUGUCAUUUUUAAAAUCAAAUAUUCCAUAAUAAAAGAUGACAGAGAUUUUUGGUAAACUAUGGAAGGGAAAGUAUUAUUGCUGUGUCUAAGACACAGCUAUUAUAAACUAUUACAAAGGUAGUUUAAAACCAUAGAGAUAUUACAGUCUGGAAACAUCUCAUUGAAGAAAUUUGCUAUUUAACUAAAGUCAUGGAGCACAAAAGCACUCAGUGGCCAAAGCGACUAUUAACAUGUCAGGGAGUCCUGCGACAGUUGUUUUGUGAGUGGAUGUUAGAGAUUAAUAAAAGAUAAUUUAUAAUUGGCUUUCUUUUUCUGAUAGAAGUUGAAUGCCUGCUCUUAAAUAUAUCAGGAAUGUCUUCUGCUACUAGAUCCAAGCCAUUUUCAUUAAUUAUGGAGGCCUCCAUGCCUCCAUACAGUAGACUAUCAGCUGCUUGUGCAUCAGUCUCUAAAGCCAAAGAAACUUGGGCUCAGAAGGAACCUUUAUGUUCUUGUAAUUUAAUGCUCACAUACUUUAAAAAAUAUUUAUUUUUAUUUGUAUGAGUGGUUUGCUUGUAUGUAUGUAUGUACACCGUGUACAUACCUGGUACCUGUGGAGGCCGGAAGAGAGUGUCAGAGCUCCUGGAACUGAAGUUACAGACAGUUGUUUUGCCUAGUUUUAUGUGAACUUGACACAAACUAGAGCAUUUGAGAGGAGGGAACCUCAACUGAGAAAAUGUCCCCAUAAGAUCUGGCUGUAGGACAUUUUUAAAAUUAGUAAUUAAUUGGGGAGGGUCAUGGAGGAGGCAUCUUUUAAUUAGUGUCUGUUAGAAAACAGGUCUAGGGCUGGAGAGAUGGCCCAGAGGUUAAGAGCACCGACUGCUCUUCCAGAGGUCCUGAGUUCAAUUCCCAGCAACCACACGGUGGCUCACAACCAUCUGUAAUGAGAUCUGAUGCCCUCUUCUGGUGUGUCUGAAGACAACAAUAGUGUACUUACAUACAGUGUUAAAAAAGUCUAUCUCCUUUUCCUAAUGGAUUAGGCUCUUUGUAACCCAUAAUCUCUGAUAACCUUCUCAGAUUCAUUGAGUAUAGGGGCAAAUUGUCCUAGCGAUUGUGUUUGCUCGUCUUGGAUCAGAUAUGAAUAUGGAAAAGGACAUCCAUAAAGUCUCUCAGAAGAGCUGCGAGCUGAAUGAGGGUCUACACAAGCUCUAAGGGGGGCUGCUGGCAGCAUUGCCUUCCGAGUAAGAGGAGUUUCCUCAUGAAGGGUAACAGAUUUUGGGUCUGAUGAACACAGUCCAUCUUUCUUGGGGGGCGGGUGGCUGUAUGAAUUGAAAAGACCAUAGGAAAAGAUUUUACAGAUUAAGGAUUGAAGUAGACUGGGGCUUCAGGAUAGAGAAAAUAUUGUGAUUAGGAAAAGCAUGCGAGAUUAUCGUUGAGGUACUUAUCACCUUAUUUAACAUGUGUAUGUCCAUACGUGGGAGUUAGUAGACAGGCCUGUAAAGGCUGAAUUACUGUCCCAAGCACAGAUGGUUAUGGCCAUUCAUAUGUGAUAUGUUUGGAAGUUCGAAGCUAAUUUUGGUUCUUAGUUUUGUCAAUAGGUUUUUGUCCAAUAAAGGGAGAGAACAUCCAGUGAUUCCUAAUAAAGUAUACUUAAAUAAACCAUUCCAUAGCCAGCAUAAAGGUAGAGUGAAAUAAUUGGUCACAGGUAUCUGAGAAGGGCUGAAGGCCAAUUGUCCAGAAUGUGAGGUAAGAAUACAGUAAGUGGUCCCACUAUCAAGUAGAAAGCUCACUGUACUCUCUGUGACUUUAAGAUUCACCCAAUGCUCUAUCCUAUCAAUGAUGAAGGUGAUGGUCAAGUUGGAGGCCAGCUUGGCCUGAAGACUUCAUUUCAGAGAGAGAAAGGAAGAGGAAAUGGUAUGUAGGGAGGGGAAGAGGGGGCAUCUGAGGCUUUGAUAUGGGAGUUCUGUCUCUUGGGUUGCUAAGCCCUUUUGCAUCUGGUAUCCUACCUGCCACUUUAGGGCAAGGCAUCUUAGAAGGAUGCUGGAUAUUUGGGUAGUUUGUUUUUCCUCAUUGAAAACUCGUCAGCAGACAUAGCAUUUUAUUUGCCAGGCUAGGAAAGAAAACAGCUGGAGAUCUUAAGUCACCCUACAAGGCCAUCCAUAAUUUUAGACUCCUUUUGUCUCUCUGUACCUUCUUUAGGCUCCAGUUAUAGAAAAGUAAAUGUUCUAUAUGGGAGAUGGGGAGAUACUUGUCUGUUUUCCAGUGAACGUGGGAAACUGACUAGGUUUCAUCAUUUAGCUGUGGGUUUUAUAUUGUUCUUUAUUAAGUUGAGGGAGUUCUCCAUAUGUAUUCUUUCUAGUCCGAUUGAUUCUCUUGAUAGAAUCAUAUGCCUUAUUCUUCAGCUUAUUUACAGGAGGGUUUGCAUUGAUUGUUUUAAUUGGUAAACCAACUGUACAUACCUGACAUAGCCUACUUGAUUAUGAUAAGUAAUUUGUUUCAUACUUUGUUUGAUCCAGCUACUAAUAUUUUUAUUUUGCUAGUGAUUUUUGCACUUAUAUUCAUGUGGCCUAUUGGUGUUCUCUCUCUGUCUCUCUGACAGGGUCUUAAUGUAUAGAUAGAUCAAUGUGGUCUUGAACUCAUAAUUGUCCUGUUUCAAUAUUUCAAGUGCUAGGAUUGCCAGUGUAUACUUGUAAUUCCAGUAAAGCAGACUAAUUUUCUACCCUGCAAUGUUUUCCCAUCUUUUAUAGUCCCCGGGUCACUUAUUUUAAGGGCAUUGAGUUGACUUACCUAAUGUUACUGACCAGUUUGUCACAUUGGGGUGUUUAAUGUAUUUAUGUUCAUAGAAAUUGCAGACAUUGCUGUAAUCACUUAAUCCAUGCUAACUCAUUUAAUACCCACAGGAAUACCGUUAUGAUGAGUGCUAUCAGGGUAGCAAAAUGUUCCAGGAGGCUCGUGCCCCAGGGUCAGCCAUUAUAUUUCCAUUGUGAGGUUUCUUGUACUUCCUUAAAAAUACUAAAUCCCAGUCAUUUCUUCUUCUAGCUAUGCUGCUAAAGCAGUAGGACCUCUAGGAAGUGUAAGCUCUGGAGGACUGCAGCUACUAUAACGAAGGUGGCAGCAGCAGUACUUGACACUUUCAUAGGAUUGCACUGUUAGCACAAUUUUCAAAUUAAAGAAUCAAACAGCACUUCAUAUGCAUUUUUGCUUGGUUUAAACAACUGUAAUUUUAGGAUAAGGUUCAAAGACUUGGCAGGACAUGGAAAAUGAUUAUACCCGAGAAGGUAACCAUUGCUGAACAGAAAGGGUAACUCAGUUUACCUUUUUAGAACCAGAAAUGUUGUGUUAGUCACGGUUCUUUAAGGAACUGAACUAAUUGGAUUUUUAAAAUGCGAUUUCUUAGACUGGUUUAUAGGAUAUCCAAGAAACCCAACAAUGGCUGUUUCAAGGGCAGGAAGGGUGAGAAUCUGAGUCGUUUAGUCCAUGAGGCUAGAUGUCUCUUCUGGCAAUGGCGUCUGGGAGGAUUCCUGGAGAGCUGCUAGUCUUUAGUGACUUUGGAAUCCUGAAGAAAUUGGCAGCAACAAGAGAGGCGGACUUGCCAGUGAGAGUGAGGGCAAACAGACAAAGCAAAACUCUCCUCUUUCAUGCCCCUUUGUGUGGGCUGCCACCGGAAGGUGUGCCCGGAUUUAGGGAGGGUCUUCCUUCACAUAAUAUGAUUAAGAAUAGCCCUCACAGGAGUGCCUAGCAGCCUGGGUCCUGCAUAAUUCUAAAUGCAGUGAAGUUGCCAACCCAGGCUGGCUAUCACAGAUGUGUUUAAAUUAAACCUUAGGAAAAA